CCAAAUAAAAUUGCCUGGUAUAGGAUAAACCAUUGCAGCUAGGGUAAGUUUUCUUACCAUUUUCACAACUGACGGUCACUGGCUUACUGCUGCUAUCCAUGGUGGUAGGAAAUAUUAUGCCAGAAAAACCUCUUCAGUCUUCAUAGGUACAAAUCAAAGCAAAGCAAUUACUCCAAUCCCAGGCAAUAAGAAAACCCAAAAAAAGGGGUUGAAUUUCAAACUUGAAAACAGUCGAGGGCAUUUGUUUCUUUGGGACGAAGGGCGAAGAACAUUAGGGCGAUGAUGCUUUGGUUUAUAGACGCUCGACGUGGUUACUCUCAGGUGCGCCCCAGAAGCAAUUUGAAAGCCUCUUCUUGCAAUUGGAAUUUGGAUGUAUGAGUUAUUUACAUUUUACUGUGUGUUGUCAAAAUCCUCGUGGUUUUGAAAAUUACACCUUCUCCUGAAGUCUCAAAUUAUUCUCAUUAAAUCCGAUUUUGUUUUGUCUGUUUCCUUGCAUAGACAGACUUACUUUCUUUUUAUGGGCGUGAGACUCUUGUUUAGGGAUUUUUGUGCUUUGAAUAGAAGAUCUUUUCAACCACCAAAAAAAAAAAAAAAAUCUGAUUUUGUUAAUUUUUCGUCUAAAAGUUAAUGAUUUCAUAUAUAAAAAAGCUUACGCAAAUAACAACUUUAAUUUCGGUUCGAUGAAAAGAAUAGUUUGUAAGGGACUUGAAGCUUAAGUAGUUAAGAUGAUAUAUCCUGUCCUUAGUUCAAUUCCCUCUUCCUGAAUUUCGCUUGUAAAAAUCUAAGUACUAAAUUCCUUAUUAUUUAAAGAUAUUUUUUUAUAUAUAAAAUCAUCAAUUAUAGAAGGAAAAAUCAAUGGAAAAAGGUUUCGAGAAAACAAUUUAUAACUUUAUGGAGUAUUUGUGUAAUUUCUGGAACUACAAAGGAUUUAGUAAAAGCACAAGUUUUUGUGUAAAUAACUCUGAAAUGUAUCUGCAUAAUAAAAUAAAUAAAUAAAACUUUGAAAUGUAUAGUAUACCUGUCAUAUUUUAUUUUUCUAUUUUUGUACUUUAAAUGUCUGUUUAUCCUUUUUAUAUUUGAUUGUGUUGAGUGAAAUGCCUCAUUAAUCUUUUAUCCAUAUAAUGGUUUCUGGAUUAACUUUCUUUUGUGUGAGCGUGUCAUUGUUACAAAUAAUACUCUAAUAAAUUUGAAUGACUUUAUAUACUUGAGCCCCAACUAAUAGACUUUAAACAAACGAUUGUGAUUUUGGGUGGGAAACCUCCCAAGAGAGUUAUUUUCUAUGUCUCAGACCGGUGAGGAUUUCACAAUUUAUCUAGACAAAACGGUAAGUAAAGCAAAAUACACAAAUUUAUGGAGAAUAUAACAGACUAAUCCAAGCAGAAUUGCCUUAAGCACAAAGCAUAAAAUGAAUUGCUAAAUCUAGACAAGCCUCAAAUUGUUAUACUUUGACUUAUGCUUAAAAAUACAGUCAAAAUGAUGUUUUAAGGCCAGGCUGGACUGGAUGUUUCUGCACUAGAAUUGCACGUCAAUACCAUCAACUAACAGAGAUUAGUUGUAAAUAAAUACCAAUGUUGGUAUUGGCAAAGCUAUAAAAAAGUUGAGCCAAUAUGUAGGCUGGAAAAGUAAGCAGAACUGCAGGCAAGUACCUGUUCUGGUUGGUUUUGUAUGAUGUGGAAGCUUUCUAUACAAUUUUAAGACAUCGAGGUAUCUUUAUAAACUUGUUGAGGUUUUCAUAUGAUGAAAGACCUGACUUCUAUUUGUGUUAUCUGAUUUGCUGAACCAAAUUUGUAAGAGAAUUCAAUCUUUUUUAAUUUCUGAUUGAAAUAUCUUGUCUAUAUUGUAAAAAGAAUCUCGUCUUCUUUUUGGUUGUCUAAGCUUUUGUUUGAGUUGGGUUGCUCCCUACAGAAGAUUGCUUGCUUGCCUUUGGUAAUUGCACGUUCGUGUGAUCUUUGAUUUCUUUUGAUCAGUCUGGACUAAUUGUUGAGUUUUGUUUCAUUGGUUGUUUGGUUGGGUCCCUUCUCCAGUCCAUACAUUCUUGUAUUUAUAAGAGAAAAAUGAUAAUGAAGAAAUUUGGAUAUUUUUUUAUUUUAGACUAACCCCCAUUUAAUGCAAAAGUGGCAAAAGCUUUGUCAUUCCAAUGCAUUGAUCAUUUUUGGCACCUGCUCAUCAAUACUCCUGAAUGUCUCCUGAUCGUUCAUUUUGCAAGAACUAGACUGAAGCGAGCAAUAAUUCUCAGAUUCUUCCAGUGUUGGUACCAUAAAUAUCCAAAUACUCUGGUAGAAGAAAAUAUCUGAUGAUCAUAUAAUAAAUAGUCGUGAUUCUCAAGCAAGUCUGACUUUAACUUUACAGCUUUUAAGGUCAUCAAUUUUCCUUGGAGUUUAACGGUGAGGAAAUAUCCUGAAAAACUUUAACAGCUAAGAAAUUGUGAAUUUUGGACUGAAACUAAUUGAAAUAAUUUGAUUUUUGGAUUAAAUCACCAUUGGUGGUAAUUUAUUUACUAAUUUAUCCAAAAAUCAUGAAUUAAUUAAAUUCCCCUUUGGCUAAAUAGUAUGGACUAGUCACCAUUUUUGGUAAACAAAGCCCAGCGUUUUGUAAAAUGAACCCAAUAGCCCAUUUUGGCUAGUGCAUAGGAUUUAACCCCAAACAAUACAUGUUCGGCUAGAAUUUAAAUAAAAAAAUGUAUUGUAUUAUUAAUGUAUUGUAUUAUUAUUCUAUUUUUGAUAAGAUUCUAGAAAUUUGUCUAAUUUUAUACCGGAUGUUUUAGGGGCAUUCUCUUAUGUGCAUUUAGGGGCUUAAUAAAAUAGUCUCACUUCGUCAUCUUUUUAUUGCACAAACGCUUAUUUACACAUCAAAAUUCAACACUUCGGUAUUUCUCUUCCAAUUUCAGCCAUAAUUAUUGUUGUCUCAAAAAGGCUUCAAACACGACUCCAAAAAUGCGUGGAUGCAUAGUGGCUUGGAACGCAAUCCUAAAAUGUUUUAGUUGCUUGAUCGGAUCAUAAUUUCAUUCAGAGUGACAAUUUUUUUUUUUUCAACAACUCUUCUACAACAUUUGACCAUUUUUUCCUUGUUGAAAGUCACAAGUUUUGUCAACUUACAAAAAAAACUAGGCCAAAAUUGUUAUAAAAAUGAUAGGUUUCCUUUUCCAUAAGCCAAAUACAAAACAUUUAUAUUAUAAAUGACAUAUAAACAAAUUAGAAAACUUUUAAGGUAUAAUGAAAUUGAAGAAAAAUAAAUUAAUAGAUAAGUGAAAACAAAAUAAAUUAUAAGUAAGAAGGUGAGUUUGGUACGUUGAAGCACAUCAAAGAUGUUGUCCUAAAGCCUUUGUAGCCUCCCUAAGCGCAAGUAUUGAUGGUCUACAAGACUCCAAGAUACGACCCCUUGUACACAAAUUCAAGAUCCGUUAUGAGCACGUUUAUAGACGGAUACAUAGGUAUCUAAGUCACAGAACCGUUGCCAAAAUAAUAAUAUAAAAUAGAGAAUAAAAGUAGAAAAGGAGAGAAUUAGUUUGUGGUGGUGAUUGUGGUAUGUGAUAUUCUAAUGGUGUAUUGUGUUUUUUUAAAUGUGAAGGAGGAGUGGCCUUUUAUAGGCAUCCAAUAAUAUGUAACAUUCACCACAUUAAACUAGAAAAUUAAGGCAUUCAAUAUAGAACUCAUACCUAAAAAUUAAAUAUGUUAACCUCCAUAAUAAAUAAAAGAAAACAGCCAAAUUAAUUAAUUAAAUAAAAGCGGUUAAUUUUUAAAACCUUUUUAAAAUUCCAACAAAAAUAAUAAUACUAAAGUCCUUAUCUAACCUCUGUAUCUCUUUAAUUGAGAGAUAUUUGAGGUUGACCCUUGUAGGAAGCAAGUGCUGAGUUCUUCAAAGACUAGGUAGAUAGAUAAAUCAAAAUUUUACCCAAUUUCUCAGGAUUUGGAUUUCAGCAAAGUGUUUGGUAGCAUUCUUGCCCUCCAUGAAUGCUGGGGGAAUUGAUUCUAAACAAUUUUAAUCAGGGGAAAGAAAACCCUCACUCCAACAAAUAUUGUGUGUUCGAACAUUGAGGACUAAAAAUAUGUGUUUUAGCUAAAAUAUAGAAGAAGCAGAGAAAAAAAAUUUGGGAGAUUUUAGUGGCACCCCAUUAUUUGCUCUUUGCACCUCACAUUUUCUUUACACCCCACUGAAUUUUAGUAAAAUUUAAAACUACUCACUAUACCCCAUUUUUCUUCCUAAAUUGCCCUCAUGAACCUCAUUUUCUAACUUACUGUGUACACCCCAUCCCAUAUUAUACACCACCCAUCGAAAACCCCCUUCUCUUUCAGACACACCCCAUCUCAUAUAAAACCCCACCCAAUUGAAAAUCCCUCAUCUUGCAAACAUACCCUAUCAGAGGUUUGCAACAAACUCCAUCGCACACCCCAUCAGAGGUUUGCAACAAACUCCAUCGCACAACCCCAUCCAAUUUGAAACAGAGCCAUCGUAGCAAACCCCAACCCCAUCGUAAACCCCCAUCGCACACCCCAUCGUCAACCCCAAACGCCUCACCCCAUCGCAAACCACCAUCGCCUCAGCAUCGCAAACCCUCAUUGUCGAUCUGUCAAGUUUUCACAAUUCCAUCUCACCUUAAUAUCCUUUGAAAAUCCAAGGUUUGAUUUCAAUUUUGAUUUUUAUAUUUAUGUUUCUAAGUGUUGAUUAAGCCUAGGUUUGACCAAAGUUUGAUUUUAAUUUUUGAUUUCAACUUUGGGGGUGUAUAGUUCAAACCUGGUUUUACGAAACUGGAUUUUACUUUUGGUAGGUUACCACUGAAAUGGUUACAUUAUUUCAGUGGUAGUCCGCCGAAUUUGAACUUGGUCUGUAUAAAAAUUAAUUUUACUUUCGGUGGGUUACCAUCGGAAUCGUUGCCUUGUUUCGGUGGUAGUCCGCCGAUUUUGUUUCCGUUUUUCAGUAGUACUCCAUUGAAUGUAUUUUCGUUUUUCAGUGGUACUCCACCGAAUAUGUUUAUGUUUUACAGUGAUUGUCCACCUAAUGUGUUUUCAUUUUUCACCGAUCAUCUACCGAAUCCUUUACUGAAUUUGUACUUAAUAUUGUUUUUUAGAUAUGAAGAGGACUCAUACUACUGAGGCUUCAUCAUCUCGACCUGAUAGACAACGUCUCACAGCCUCAACGAGGAGACAGAGAGUGGCUCCCCAAGAUCACUUUGAGGAUACUACAGAGGUUGAAGAUGUAGUUCCUACUCAUGAUAGUAAUGUUGAUGCGGAGGUUGAAAAUGUAGUGUUACUCAUGAUAGUAAUGUUGAGAUACAUGUUGAGCAUACUGAGCCAUCUUGAGUAGGUCCCAUUGAUCCAUCUUUACUUACGAGUUGUAAAACUUACAUAGCAGCUACAAUUUAGAAUCGUGGGAAACGAUAUCUAUUAGUUUUAUAGGUGCAAUCCAUGAUAAGUACAUGUGGAAAUGCACGCAAAAUCUCAAUAUUAAUAGGGUGUGUCUAAAACAAGUCAGUUACAAUAUCACUAGAUGUCCUAUGCCACUCAAUAUAAUUGUGUUCGGAUAACUUAGUAAGCAAUUGUUGCAUUUGUGUUCUCCCAUCAAAUUCUUUGGUUUUAUUUUCGGAUCCUAGCAUUGUAUAUUGUCUUCAUAGUUGAAACAUUCAUUGCAUCUCUAUCCUUCAGGAUGACCAACAUAUCUCUGGGUUUCACCAAACUCUAGACAUGUCCACCAAUAAGGCAUUCUCUUCUUCAGAAAGUCGCCCCACAAAUGAAUGACCUUGAAGAUACUUUGAAAUAGGAUGGUUGUGUACUCUACAAACCACCUCCAACUUCCAAUUAUCCCCAUCACAAAUAUUGACACCUUUUAACAAGAAUGGACAUCCACAUUUCUUAGUACCAAUGUCCCUAGCACAUUUUUUCGUAUCACUAUUUGCAUGCGACCUUACAUCAGUUGUCUCACUAGACUUGCAAGACUUAUAGUUACUGCUCCUUUCACAAGAAAGUAUUACUCGAGGUCUCCUCUUGUCCUUACCUCCAUAAUCAGACCUUCUAAUUAUAAUUACAAUAUUAUUAACUUCUCCUUUUGCAUGAGCCCAUUUAAAUAAUGCAUCUCUACCAUUAAAUAUCUACACAUAAAACUCAUGUUAUUUAAAGUUAAAAUUUGAAACACUAAUGUCACGUUGAUGAUACUAAAAAGGAUUUCAUACCAAAAAAAAAAAAAAACUCAAAUAAUUACCAAAUAAGUUAUGCAUUGAUCACUAUAGUCCAUUACACAUUUUGUUCCUACAUUGUUGCCUUUAGUAAGGGCGUCACCUUGUUUCUAUUCAUUCAAUAGAAGUAAGGUCAAAAUAGCUUACAUUAAAUUUAUGGUCCACAAUAAGUUACUGAAAAAUAAAUAUAUUUCGGUUCGUUGCCACAGAACUGCAUGAAAAAGUUCGGUAAUACACCACUGAACAUCAUUCCAUGUUAUGGUGGAUCUGAUCUCUACCGCAUCUUAAGUUAACGGCCGGUCAAACACAACUGAAAUAGGUGCAACAUUUCAGUGGCAUCCCACCAAAUGUACUUAUCGCAUUCAGUACUGAUGUGUUGAACUCAACCAGUGACCAUCAUGAAAUCCUAAACUUGAAAAAUGCCAAAAAAUAAAUUCAUACCUUAUUCAAGGCCUCUCUAACUUCAGUCUCACCCUUCAUGAAUAAAUACAAGAUAUAUUUCACUAAUAUAAACAUAUAAACCUCGUUAGGGUUGUAGGAACAUGAUGGUUUGAGAAAAAAAGCCUAACUGGGUUGUAGGAACAUAUGUGGGGUGUAUUGAGCAAUUUUAAUUUUAAAUUUUAAUUUUUUUUUAUCCUUAACGGUAAUUAUGUACAAGGGUAAAAUCGGUUAUUCAUGUUUAAAUUUAGUAUGGGGUGCAAAGAGCAAAUAAUGGGGUGCCAACAAAAUCUCCCAAAAAAUUUAGCCCAGCCCUAUAUAAAUUCCUUGUUCUGCCUUGUUUGGGUGGGUUGAGGAAAUUUGUGUGUGGAAGGGGGAAUGGAGGAAGGGCCUGUAAAGAGGGAAGGGGGAUUGGAUUUCAAGGUGGGCGGGGUUGGUUGGAGCUACUGGUGGUGCACAGAUGAUGGGGUAAGGUGAUAUUUUUUAUUUUCAAUUUUUAUUUUUUUUAAGAUUUUCUAUUUUUAAGAUACCCUUGAAAAUGGAAAGACUAAAAUACCCUUAAAAUAGAUGGAAAAUUAGAUGGUGUUAAAGUGAGAAGACAAAUCAUGAAUUUUGAAAAAUUAAGGUGACAUUUUGUCACACCCCAUUUUUUUUUUUUUAGUGGGAGUGUGAGGUAAAAGAAAAACUAAAACUAAAAAUUAAAUAUCAAGAAAGAUGAAGAUUGAACAUAAACUUCUAUUUAAACUAAAGUAAUUUACAUUGUAAUUUUACAAGAAAAAUAACAAGAAAGUAACAAACUUUCAACAAAACAUUCAAAACUAUCCACAACUCUUUCUUCUUGUUUCCUCGUCGCAAACUAAACUUCAGAUUCAAACCUUGCAAUAGAUUCAAUAAGGGGUGAGCACUACAUGCUCAGUAGGGGUCCUAUGUCUUCUGUGAUUAGUGAGAUUUAUAAUGUACAAUUUAUGCAAUGCAUGAAUGAACUUUAAUUUUUCCCAACAUGUUAAUCUAUAUAAUAGGGUAAGCAAAUCUGCAUGUCCCAUACCAUUCAUUUUACCACUGUGCUUCUGAAUGUCCCAUUAUAUAAACUAACACCCAUCUCAAUUAUCACUCAAUUCCCCUUUUGCUAGUCGUCUUGUCUACACUAUUGAUCUCCAAGCCCAAAUCACCAAAUCAACAAUUAUACCUCUGAUUUCCUAGUCUACUGUGCACACGGGCUCCCCUGAACUUGGUCCCUACAAUGGUCAGACUCAACUACACAAAAGAUCCUUCCCAUUACCCUCUUUUCCAUAAUUUCUUUGUCAACCCAAGAAUUCCAACCACUACCGACAACAUAUGAACAUGUCAAUAUUAAUCAAAUUAUAAUGAUAAUUGACAACAUGUAAACACCCAAUAUCAAGGAUAAUAAUCAAAUAAUAUUACAAAGCAUAAUAUAGUGUUCACAAUAUUUAAUUAAAUCAAUUUAUGUAAAGCAUCCCCAAGAAAAACCCCUACCUCAAAUCCCAAGCUAUUGUAUAACUCCCAGUUGCAAGUCCAAGCACUUUGAGCUUCUCCAAAAUCUCACCACACUUAAAUUCUCACUCUUUUCUUUCUUUUGUCUACAAUUUUUAGGAAACUAACGCAACUUGAAGAACUUAUGAUAUAUGAACUAUAAGGUAGGGCUAUUUAUAGCAAGCUAGAGUCGGCAAAGAUAUAGAUAAAAGUUUAAUAUUGUGCCACAUAACUAGCCUAUAGAUUGCUAGACUACUUGGGUGGCUUGAAAGUAAUCUGCCACACCAAAUAGCCUUAUGUAUUGGCUUUGUAGAGUGCUUAAGUUUAUAUAUAUAGGGAUACCUACUGUUCUUACACCUCAUGUGUAACGACCCGGUCCUAAAUAAAUUGAUAAUUAUUAAUUUAUGUAGAUAAAAGACCAUUUUACCCCUAGAAUAUUUUAUUGAGUUUAAAGUUGACUUUGUGACCAGAAAGGAAUUUGAGAAUUUCAGCUGUACCGUUGCGUAGAGCUUGAUGAGAUGAGUUCGUAGACACGUAGUGGACUCGAUUUGGAGUUGUAACGAGGAAGUUACGAUCAAAAGAAACUCAAUGGCACAAUCGUAAUUAUUUUGAAAUGGGAUUUUUAUAAAAACAGAAAUUUCUCUCUCUCUCUCUCUCUCUCUCUCUCUCUCUCUCUCUCUCUCUCUCUCCCCUUGCGCGCAUAAACACCUCCCCGGUUACUGUUCAUCCGAACAAUAUUUCUUCCGCCAUCUCCUCUACCGGCCACCAAACUUCAUGAUAUUGGUACCAAAACGUCAAGCUCACAUCCCUCUUCCUAUCCCAACCCUUCACCACCGCUACCGCUGCCCGUAGUUGCCGGUUGCAGAAAAGUCGCCGAAUUUACCCAUAACUUGAAGGAGCUCGUUCGGGUGAUUCCGGCAACUAAAUUCUUCAAACUUGGUAUGUUUUCUCAUCCUCUCAAUGUGUUCUAGCUGUUGGUUGGGUUGUUUAGAAUUAAUUUCUGCAUUUUGAAAUGAAUUUAAGAGAUUAAAGUUUUGGCCGUUUUCGGCCUCCUAUUCCGGCCACUUCCUUAGACUUUUUGGGGUAGGCCCAAGAACAAAAGUGGUUCCAAAUAGGGUAGGAAGCUGGAUUUCCAGUUGUGAAGAUUUCUGGUUGCCGAAAUUUGAUCAAGCCACCCAUGAGCUGCCGAUGCGUGUGGCGGGGCGUGAACCAUUUGUUGGCCGGUCUUUGAGUCGUAAAAUCAUCCUCAUGUCAUCCCGAGCACUACGGUAUGCUCGGAUAUGAAUUUGGAUAUCGUUUGAUCGUCGAUCAGAUAUGGCAUAUUUUGUGAUAUCGAGGUUCGAUUGGUUUGAGCCGUUGGACCGUCUUGAAUUUAAUAUAUGUUAAUCUAGACAUUCUUAGGUCGUAUGGAAUUCGACGGAUCGUAAAACGGAGUCCCGGAUACUCCGAAAAUGCCAACCCUAAGGCUAGGUUCCUAGUAACCGAGUAACCAUCCGAUCCGGACCAAACUUGCGGGACGUGUAUCCUAAACCUUGUGGAACCUAUAGGAACUUUCAAAUCGGAAUUUGGAGGUCGUGUGCCUGUUUGACCAAGUUGGGGUAGUUGGACCCCUCGGUUGACCGUGAGUCUUCCGAGGUAUUUUCACCUUUCGGAAGGUAUUAAGAUAACUUUUUUAUCGAAUCUUAACUGUUAUUUGAGGUUAAAUUGGAAAUUGAUUCGAUUUAGGGUUUUCCUUAGAGGUUGUUGCUUAUCAUUAAUUAAUAUUAUUUAAUUAUAAAUAAAGUAUAAUGUUCUAGUUGUGUGAUACGGUAUUUUAUGGAAUUUGUGUGAAAACAAGUGUUGAAUAAUAUUUAAAUUGUUCUAGGAUCUUUAUGAAAUUUAUGUUUAUGUGUAUGAUCGUUGGUCUAAAAAUAAUAUUAUUUUCCUGAUUAAAUUACGUUGCAGUCUACUAUCGACUGGUAUCACUAUAUUAGGAAUACAUCUAUUAUUAGUUUAGAUAAUUGAGAGUAUGUCAGUUUGAAGUCCUAUACGCACUACUCUAUGUACCUCUCCGGAUAUUGAUUACACUGUAAGUACUAUCCUGUGAUUGUUAGGUCCCUCGUGGUGUAGGUUAUCUGGCGUAAGGACAGACCCCAUACAUGGCGUUGGAUGUUCCGGCGUAUGGGGGAGAUUAUGUGAUGGUUAGUUCACACGUGACGUAGGUUAUCCGGCGUGUUAAUAGGCCUCAUACGUGGCAUUGGAUGUUCCGGCGUAUGGGGAGAUUUUGUGAUUGUUAGGUCCCACGUGGCAUAGGUUAUCCAGCGUGAGGACAGACCUCAUACGUGGCGUUGGAUGUUUCGGCGUAUGGGGGAGAUUAUGCGAUGGUUAGGUCACACGUGGCGUAGAUUUUCCGGCGUGUUGACAGAUCCCAUAUGUGGCUUUGGAUUUUCUAGCGUAUGGGGGGAUUAUGUGAUUACAAGGGAGAUGAAUAAAGGAUUGUUAUGUUAUAUUGGGAAAGAACUACGUGUGGUUUGAUCCUUCAGUAAGGGUACGUAGGCAGCCUAGGGUAGUGCCUAGGUGCAACCGUAGACUAAAUGUUGUUUUAUUGAGAUUGGUUCUGACCUUGUCGUUGGUCCUUAAAUUUGGGUGAAAACGAGAUGUGAUUGUGUUAGGAGGUUAAAACCUCGUAUGUUGGAUAUGUGGGAAGUUAUUUUAUACUGAUUAUAGUGGGCAUUCAUAAAUUGUCUGAAUUCAUUAUUGGCAUUGUUUAGAGUUUGUUUGAUGGUUUCGCUUAAGAUUAUUUGAAGGCCGGAGGCCAUCUAUGUGAAUUGCAUGUUGUUAUAUUGUGCAUGCUGCCUGUUGGGAUAUUAAAUUGUAAAUUUUGUGCAGGUUGACAUUUGGGGAAUGUUCAAUUUACAAGAGAGACUCUGCCAAAAUUUCGCUAGAAAGUCUCGUGCCCUUAUUCCUUUUUGGGAAAAAGGAUAUAGUUUUAGAAGUGGGCCUGACAUCGGGGUGAUGUCAGAUAUCCACAAGAUUCGUCUCGAGUUCCGAAGAAUUUGGGGCGGGUCCUGUCAUCAUGCCAAUAUAUCCCACCUCAUGCUUUAAUUGUUUUUGAGGAUUCCAUUUGCAACACGUCAAUCUUUAACAGAAAGCUUAGUAAGCAAACAAAAAUCUUUCUAAAUGCUUUUGUAAAGUGUGUGUAUAUAAUAAAUAAUAAAUAAGGCUGAAAUGAAUUGAUAUAGUUAAAGCCAUGCAAUAAGAUUUGAUAGGCUUAUGCUAGUUAGUGUUUUUUUUUAUUUUUUUUUUGGACUUUUCCAAUUGAAAGGGGCGAUAGCAUAUUAAACUCACACACACAACACAGAUGCUAGGACUCAAACCCAGGACCUUGUCUGACGGAAUAAAUACUCCAAACCACUACACUAGUGGGUUCUUUGCAUGCUAGUUAAUGUUUAGAUUCACGUAACAUGCCAUAUAUAUAUAUUAUCAAUUAUAUCUUUUGAAAACUAAUAAUUUUAAAUAAUUAAUUUUAUGAUAUAUUAAUAUACAUAUAUAAAAAUAUGGGUUUCACACAUUUCUCUUAAAUUUUUCUUUAAAAUGAUAAAUUGUUUUCAAGGUAUAAGUUCAUGUUAGAUUUUUUUAUAUAAAAAAUCCCUUGAAGAAAUUAAGUGCUUGCAUAACAUCAGAAAAUUUAUUUUCAGGCACUUAUUUUCUCAUGGCUUGGGGCAAUGAAUUGCAUGUAUGCUAACUAAGAAUCAAUUCUUGAAAACUGUCAACCAAGUAAAGAAUAAACAAGGCCUCUUUUUAUAUUUUGGCGAACCAAGAGAAGUUCAUUGAACAGAAAUUUAUUCCAAAAAACAGUGAAAUUGAUCCUUGACCUCCCUCUUGAUAUCCACACAUCUUUGCACAUCCAUCAGUGCGGAAUAGAUUCAUCCUAAAGAUAACAAUUGCCAAACCACCCUACUUCGCACAUCCAUCAGAGCCGAGUUUUAUGUCCCUUGAAUUCCCAAUUCAUCAAGCAUGGCAGAUAUCGUGUUCCUAAUCAUUAAGGUCUCGGUAAAAAGGCUAACACAAGAGAAAACCUUAAGAUGGGAAUGACAUACUUGGAAUUGGAGCCGAUCUAACGGUUCGAGCAUAUCAAACCCAGAUAUUGCUUAAUAGGCAUAAACCCGUUUGACUGUCAUAUGAUAACCAAAUUCGAAUCCGAGCAUACCGUCGCACUCAGGACCACAUGGAGAACAGUUUAGAACACAAUGGGCCGCCACACCAUGGCCCACACGCCGCCACAAAUGCCGGCAGCACGUGGGUGGAUUGAGAAAAUUUCGACUACAGAAAAUUCUUGAAACACCCUACAAUACCUAUACCAAUACGUUCAAACCAACAAUGGGAACACUUUUUGUUCUUGGACCAGGGCCAAAAUGUGACCGGAGCUAGAUGAAAUCACGACCAAAGCACCAGCCUCAUAUGGGUAUAUUGAACAAUCGUAAACCUCAAAAUCGAUUUACAAUACUUACAUAAACAGAUGGAGCACAAAGAGUAGAUGAAGUUUCAUACCUCACUCAACAAAAAUAGCAGUCGGAGUUGCCAAAAACGGUGCCAAAAACUUCUAAAAUCACCCAAACUUCCAAUCAUUCCAGUUUAAUUUCCUUCGGUUUUGGAGCUCGGAAAAUGGGUGGAUUAGAUAGAGGACGUCGAUACGAAACUUUUGCUACCAAUUUCACCUGAGUCGAACACUGGACGACGACGAAAUCGCCGUCAGAAAUUUGCUGCGUGCGGAGGGGAGAGAGAGAGAGAGCUGAUCUGUUUUUAAAAUCCAACUUCAAAAAAUUUACGAUUGUGCCACUGCACUUCUGUUGACCACAACUUCCUCAUUAAAACUCCGAUUUGGGCCUACUACAUAUCACGAACUCGUGAGAGCGAGCUCUACACAACGGUGCCACUCAUUUCCCCUAGAUCCUUCUAGAUUAAAAAGGAGUGGUGCUAUUUUCACCUACCUGUCCUAUUUUUUCACCCACUUUAUUUUCCCACCCACCAUAUAAAUUUGAAAAAACAUAAUCCUAUUUUUCCACCCACCAUUAUUCCUAAAAUACCCUUUAUGUGCAUCCCACCAUUGUUUUUGUAAAUCAUUCAUAAUCAAUGUAUGAACUUAAAUACAGAACACGAGUUUGGGAGUUGUCUGUGUAUAUAGAAACCGAGGAAUUGAAACUAUUUGUGCAAAUAAUCUCGCAAGAGUAUAUUAACUUCUAGAUCCUCCAACCUUCGAUCUUCCUUCUCUCUCUUCCUCAUUUCCUGUAAAAAAGAUUGGAGUAAAUAGACCACACCCGGGGGUGUUGGCCAAAGGCCCUCCAAUGCCUAAGUUAGUUCAAGUGUUUGUAGGAAAACAAUAGCUAAGCAAAGGGUACGGAGUUGUAUGUAGGGUGUGAACAGGACAGCCGGAGCCGUGUGGAGAAAAUAUGGAGAGUGGAGAGGGAGAGAGAGCUUCAGAUAUUUUUCUCGAGUAUUAGGAGUAGGUUUAGAUGUACCUUGAAUGAUGAAUGAGGUCGUCUAUUUAUAGGAGCCUCGGGGCUAGGGUUUUGUAGAGAAUAUGAUGAGUUUAUUCUCUAUCCAAAUUCAUAUUGAUCGAGUCGAACUUGAUAAUAUCUUAAUUAAUGUUGUAAAUGCAUGAGUUGGUGGAUGACCACCAUACCUCUUAGUAUUCCACCGUUGGAUUUUAUGUAACCUAUGCACUAAGUAUUUGUAAUUAGUGCUUGUAACCUAUAGGUAUAUUGUAAAUGAUGGUAUUCAAUCUCCUAUCUUGUAAGCCUAUAAAUAGGUGGUUCUACCAAAGAUUAAGACAUGAAUAAACAUGGUGAAACUUUAUCUUUAGCAUAUCACUUCUCUCUACAUUUUCUCCCUUUAGUUUUAUAACACGUUAUCAGCACAACAUUGCUCUUGGUAUGUUUUCUUUCUCUGAAUUUUCUUUCUUCUUAUAUGAGCUAGAGUCAUCACAUGGUAGAGUUUCUUUGUACUCACCAUCAGACUUCAUCAUGCUUGUUUAAGAAAAAAAAAUUUCUUAUUCUUAUUACACAUGAAUAUAAUGCCAUGUUUUUGUUUUUAUUUGUUUGUUUAUUUAAUUUUAAGUAUGAUCUUAAUUAUUAUGAUGAGUUUGAAUUAUACAAAAGAUCAGGGGCCCGAAGUUCCGUGAUCCUCAUCAUAUAACUAGAUUAGGACAUAGAGUCCUUUUGAUUGAAUCAGAACCUGAAGUUCUUUGAUUCCAAAUAAUUGAGGACGUGAAGUUCCGCAAAUUUAAAGAGCACAUAAGGACAUGAAACUCCUCGAUUUUGUAUUAAUCAAAAUCAGAAUUCCAUGAGGCCUACAUAUGUCAAGAACUCGAACCAGAAGUUUCGAGUGCAUAUACAUCGAUUUGAGUAUGAAGUUCAAAGCACAACUAUUAAUUCAAUUUAUUUAGAUCUACAUAUUCGAACCCGAAGUUUCGAAUAUAGAUUGAUAUGAACCUGAAGUUCAUAGUUUUUCAUGGAUCUUAAUACUACAUAUGAACCUAAAGUUCAUUACUUAUUUGUGCCCAUAUGAACCUGAAUUGGUUGGAAAUCCAAUUCUUAAACUUGUAGUUUUAUCUACAUAUUGAAUCCACAUUAAUAUUGGAUUAUCUUGGAAUUUCAUAGUCUUUAAUUUAUUUAUUUUAUUCCUUGUUUAUACCACUUUACUCAUUUUAUUUUAUUUAUGUUGUGUUAUUAGUUAAUUUCGUUUUACAAUGGUAAUGUUUUGUAUUACCGCCCCAAUAUUGACGGCCAUAGACGUCUAUUGGAGAAACUUCCUGCUUUCUUUUGUGGGUAGGAAGUUUAUGAUGUCAUGAACCAAAAGUUCAUGAGGCCUCAAUAUUACACAACUAUUAAAGUAGUUGAAGUUUAUGAUGUCAUGAACCAAAAGUUCAUGAGGCCUCAAUAUUACACAACUAUUAAAGUAGUUGAAGAUUAUGAUGUCAUGAACCAGAAGUUCAUUGACCGGAUAACUUUUAUGUUGUGGCAUGACUCUCUUGGCAAUCCAUGUUCCUCAAUGAUACAUAAGAUUUUUAUAAAUUUGUAAGGACAUCGUUUAAAGACUCAAAAUAUUGUCUUGUCCAACAAAUAUCAUUACAAAGAAAGCUCACAAAUAAAAGCUGUCAUAAGAUCAUCCCAGUUAAAAAUUGACUUUGAGCCCUAAUUCAAGGGGAUAUUUGUGAGCCUAUACAACAUUUAAUUAUGAAUUACUUCACCAGUUUUACUGAAUGCGCCUACUAAAAUGGUCACAUAUUUGAUAAUGACUGUGAGUUUAUUUUCCUAAAUUUUGAGACAAUUUUCACGCCGUUAGGGGGAGAAAUGGCAGUUUCUGAAGAACGUCGUGAAAUAGUGUUGAAUCAAUCCACUUUUGUCUCAUCAAGAUAAUGCAUAUAUAAGUUGUACAUAUGCUAACAUGGAUUGAUAUUCUUGUAUCACAAUCCAUUAACAUGGUGACUAUCUAUAUAAUGCAUGCCUGAAGCAUGACAGAAAUAUAGGUUCUAAAGACUUAACUCCUCAGAAAUGGAGAUUAUUUGAAAAAUUCAAGCCCUAUAAAAAAUACGCUCUAUAGGAGGUUAUGAUCCACAUAUUCUAAAUAAUUCAUUGUAAAAGAGAUGUUUGUCCCAUAAGUGACAACAUAAGCCCCUGAAGAGGCAUUGGUACCCCAAAGCAAUGAGAUGAUUAUAAAUUAUACAUGCACAUGCACAUAAGAAUUGUGGGAUCACAAAUCGAUGAUACAUUUGGUUUAUUAGUAGCUACUACAAUCAUCAAGGGCUAUGAUUAUAUUAAAUCACGUUUCAUGAAUGUCGACAAGUUAAGUGAUUGGCCAAAAAUGAAAAUAGGCAAUUCCAUUUAUCACUAAAUAAGAAGAGUUGCAUAUUGAACCUAUAACUCAAACACCAAAUUACAAAUGUUCAGUAUGAAGGUUACGAAUUGGUGUUUUGUGAAGUGAAAUAAGAUCACUAAUAUGACAUAAGGUUUCCUGGGAGAGACAUGUGGUUUUAGUCUCCAAUCUCAUCGUAAAUGCAUCCACAUUUCUAUAAGUGCGGUUGUUACUUUAACGCAAAACUUAUAGCAUGUGUUAAAUGCAUAUUUAUUAAGACUAUAUGGUACAUGGAAAUCAUUCAAAGCUUAUGAAAUAUUUAAGAUAUAUCGGAUGAAGCAACCUCUUGAAGGAUAUAAAAUACCACAAUAUUCUUAAUUAAGAGUUAACACUAAGAGUUUGAGUAUUUUGAAUUCAAAUUUGAUAUUGUUGUAACAUAUUCUAACUAUUAAAUUAGUUGUUGAUGCUCCUAAAUAUUUCAAUCAUUUGAAAAGUGAAAAGCAGGUCGAAUAACGUGAUAGAUGAUCAUGUAUGAAGACAAUGUUGCUUGUAUUGCUCAAAUCAGAGAAGGGGAGAUAUUAAUCAGGGGGAGAUAUCAAUCAGGGGGAGAUAUCAAUCAAGAGGAGCAUCCCCAUUCUACUACAUACAGGACAUAUGCUUGUUGUACUCUUUUUCCCUUCGACUAGGUUUUUGUCCUACUGGGUUUUUCCUAGCAAGGUUUUAAUGAGGCAACAUAAGUGCAUCCAACACCAUAUUAAUGAUCCAGAAGAAAGUUUCACUCUUUUUCCUUUCGCUUCGGUUUUGUCCCUCUGGGUUUUCCAAGCAAGGUUUUUAAUGAGGGAACUAUGUCAUUGUAUGGUGGACAUCCAAGGGGGAGUGUUGUAAAUGCAUGAGUUGGUGGAUGACCACCAUACCUCUUAGUAUUCCACCGUUGAAUUUUAUGUAACCUAUGCACUAAGUACUUGUAAUUAGUGCUUGUAACCUAUAGGUAUAUUGUAAAUGAUGGUAUUCAAUCUCCUAUCUUGUAAGCCUAUAAAUAGGUGGUUCUACCAAAGAUUAAGACAUGAAUAAACAUGGUGAAGCUUUAUCUUUAGCAUAUCACUUCUCUCUACAUUUUCUCCCUCUAGUUUUAUAACAAUUAAAUGAUAUUAUCUCUUUUUAUGAAGAUAAUAUCUGAAUUAAUGAUAUUAUCUUAUUAAAUAAAGAUAAUAUCAUAUUAAUUAAGAUAUUUAUCCCUAUUAAUUAAUUGGCCAGAUAAACUGGUUCAAUUAAUUAAUUUGAGAGAUAAUCUUCUUUUCCAUGUGGCGCGCUGUGAUUGGAGACGAAAAUAUUUGCUCCCACAGAAAUUAACUUCAAAUUUGGGAAGAGUUGAAAACCUUAAACAUUGCAUCACAAAUCCAAUGGCUGGUAACAAAUUCGUUUCCUUGUAUUUCAGUUUCUUUGUACUUUAGUUUUACAUUUUUUUUGUGGGUGUUAGUGCUCGCGUGGUUUUCCUUUCUGGAAGCCUAGCUUUGUACGAUCUGUUUGUCCUCUUCCUUAAGGAAAGCCCACUUUGAUCAAAACAAAAAAUCCAAUACCAGGUAGUGCUAGGGUUUGGAGAGGGCUGUUAGGGAUGGAUUCGAAGAGAGAGAUGGGAGAAGAGAGAGAAAAAAGGAGAUGGAUUAGGAAAGAAGGUGAGGUCUGGGAAGGUUUUUUUAUUUUUAUGAAAAACUGGAGAUGAAUUUUCAAUUUUAAAGCUUUUCCCUUUGUUAAAGUUUUUUUUCUAAAAUAUUUAAAUAUUUAAAUUUUACAUUUCAUUUCAUUAUUCUUAAGUACUUAGAAGUCAUUUUAUAAAGGGGUAAAUUUAUCUUUAAAAUUUUGAAGAUAAAGUAGGUGGGAAAAUAGGAUAAGGAGGUGAAAAAUUAGAAAUAGCAGCACUCUUAAAAAGUGACCAUAGUAAACCUACUCCGAAGGGUAAAAUUGUAAUUUCACAAAAGAAUUAAAUUGAAUUAAAUCAAUUAAUUUGGGUCAAGAAUGUUACAGUAUGGACUAGUCACCAUUUUUGGUAAAUAAAGCCCAACGUUUUGUAAAAUGAAUCCAAUAGCCCAUUUUGGCUAGUGCGUAGAUUCUAGAAAUUUGUCUAAUCUUGUACCGAAUGUUUUGGGGGCGCUUUUUUUAUGCCAUGUGUUCUCUUAUGUGCAUUUAGGGCAUAAUAAAAUAGUCUCACUUCGUCAUCUUUUUAUCGCACAAAUGCGUAUUUACGCAUCAAAAUUCAACACUUCAGUAUUUCUCUUCCAAUUUCAACCAUAAUUAUCGUUGUCUCAAAAUGGCUUCAAACACGACUCCAACAAUGUGUGGAUGCAUAGUGGCAUGGAACACAAUCCUAAAAUGUGCUAGUUGCUUGAUCCAAUAAUCAAUUUCACUCAGAGUGACGAUUUUUUAUAUUUUGGCGAACAAAGAGAAGUUCCACACAACUUUGCACAUCCAUCAGUGCGGAAUAGAUUCAUCCUAGAGAUAACAACUGCCAAACCACCCUACUUUGCACAUCCAUCAGAGCCGGGUUUUAUGUCCCCUGAAUUCCCAAUUCAUCAAGCAUUGCAGAUAUCGCGUUCCUAAUCGUUAAGGUCUCGGUAAAAAGGCUAACACAAGAGAAAACAAUGAGAAAAUGAUGCUUAUCGAUUCCUUUGAUGCCAUGUUGACAUGAUUCCAUAUAAAACUAAUCAAUCAUUGACACUGAAGUAGUUCCUAUAAACGAACCGUGGCCGCUUAAGUAGGCUAGCUGCAUCUCAGAGGACAAUUACUCAAAGAUUGACCUGGGGCUUCACUUUCAUUACUUCUUUCACAACGAGGGAACCGCGCCGCAUCAGUCGAUGUGGUGGAACGCCCUCCUGAGUCAAAGAUAGAGCUUUUGCUCCUCUCUUCAAGAGAGAUGCUUCGGUAUCUGAAUCGGCUGAAGGAGAGUGAAGAGGCAGCUACUCUCCCAGCCCACGGGUAGCCUCUUCUUUCUGGUCUACAUCAAGUGCAUUGAAUGCCCCAUAAUCAGAAUCAAAGAGGAUAGGUCAAGGAGAUGUUCGGGACGAAACCUGAGUGGAUCUGAGGCAAAGCGGAGCCUCCGGAGGUACGGCGGCUUGUGCUGUGCCGUCAUUUCGGAUUCCCGACUGAUUUCGGCACUAGUUAAAUGGGGAAAAUCACCCGGAUCUUGAAUCAACUAGUAGAUCAUCAACACAGGGUCCCAAUUCAUUUGGCGACCGCGAAGUCACCGAAUGAACUGCCGAGCUGGGACAGCCCGUGCGUGACCCAUACGAAUCCUACAGUCAUUCUUAUCUUUUGAAAAAUGGACAGAAAUUAGUUUCUUCCACUCCUCACCCAAAAUACAAUACAUUAUACCCUAAUAGAAGCAAUACAUGUGCACAUUGUACAAAAUCAACUUUCAAGGGUAACCAAAGUCGGGAACCAUAAACAGAACAAUUUGGGCGAUGCUAUGGCAGGCAUUUGUUCUAAUAAGAAAGCAUUAUAUAAAUCUAAUUAAAAAUCUAUGGUAGGCUGCCGAGUAGAAGAAAGAAAAACUGAAUUUACUUCCUGCAAAAGUUUAGUAAGAUGUGGGAUACAAUUUAAACCUUACUUUAAAGACAAUUUCCAGGGUAGAGGACAGCAUUAUAGUAUUGUGCCAAAAGCAAGCUAAUGCAUAUGAGUGAUGCAGCAUCAGGUGGCUAAAAUAAUUACAUCCUCACCGGUUUCAACAUAUCAGAUCAGACAUCCUGGAUAUCUACCUUCCCUUGAUACACACUUAACAGUUCAGGUACUUUGCCAAGAUAUCCGUUCACAAAACUCUCCAAGAACUGCUUCUCUGCCGGUUUCAGCAGAGAACCCAGAUUCAAGUUCCCAUUUAUGAAACCUUUCGACAACAGAACUUUAACAACAGAGCACCUUGGGAUAAGUCUCUUCUCUAUACUGAGACCGAGGACCACAGGAUAUUUGGCAAUCAUUCCUGACGACCAUCCCAUCUUGUUCACUAAAAGAUCCAUUGCUUGCAUAAGUUUCUUCUCCGAGACAAUCAUAGACAGCGGGUUCUUCCUGAAAGCGGAGAGAAAAUCAUCCUCAGACCAACCCCAUGUCUUAAGAACUUCACGACUUCUAUUCAAUACCAACUUAUUCUUACCACACAAUGCACACAGGGCAUUCACUGAAGUUGAUUUUUCCAGAUUAAAUCCCAUUUCCUUAACCUCACCCACAAGUUGACCAAAUUUUUCAGGAUUUACCAUCAAAGAGGGAGUACAGUGAGCUAACAACAAAGAAAUGCAUGGUUGAGGCAUACCCGAUUCUCUCAAAAGCCCAAUAUUUGGAACAACAUGCUUGCGGUGACUUUCCAAGAAAAUCCAUGAGUUGCGUUUUAAAACAGCAACAACAUUUUUCUCAGAGAGCAUACUCCUGAGGAAGUUAUAAGUGGGCAAAAUCCGAUUUCUCAAGCUGGCUGCCAAAAGCUGUGGAUUAAAAGUCAGAGUUUUUAUAAGGUCCACCUUUGAAAUUUCAAGAGAGCUGAAAAACUCAAGCUUUGGCAAAAGGGUUUUCUCAGGAUCAGCUGAAAGAAGUUUUGGAUGUGACCUAAUAAGCUUUGAUAUCUGGGUUUGAGAUGCUCCAUAGUUUCUCAGAAGCUCUAAAACGGAGUCUGCUCUUUCUGGUGACUUCAACUCGACCCGCUUACAAGCUGAAAUCGCUCCUUCUGGGGACAACCCGCAAGUGUUUAUGAGGUAAGUGACUGUGAAAUUGUGUUGGUUUUCUGAGAUUUCUGACGUGAUGCGUCUGCAGAUCAACUGACUCUGAAGAGAAAAAUGUGAGGGUUUUGGAUCUCCAACCAACACUCUGUUUGUUUUGGAAGCAAAUGUACAAGAAAAUAUUGAGUGAACCAAUCUGAAGGUCUUCAAAUUGCAGAGUUGAAUCAUGUUAGAGGUUGAUGAUGAACAAUUUCUACAGGAAAACUUAAAGCCCUAGCUGAUUCUCUGCCUUCAGAAAAUAUGCAGUUCUCGGCAUUCUAAAAAGAUCUGAACCAUCCAAAUAAAAUUGCCUGGUAUAGGAUAAACCAUUGCAGCUAGGGUAAGUUUUCUUACCAUUUUCACAACUGACGGUCACUGGCUUACUGCUGCUAUCCAUGGCGGUAGGAAAUAUUCUGCCAGAAAAACCUCUUCAGUCUUCAUAGGUACAAAUCAAAGCAAAGCAAUUACUCCAAUCCCAGGCAAUAAGAAAACCCAAAAAAAGGGGUUGAAUUUCGAACUUAAAAACAGUCGAGGGCAUUUGUUUCUUUGGGACAAAGGGCGAAGAACAUUUGGGCGAUGAUGCUUUGGUUUAUAGACGCUCGACGUGGUUACUCUCAGGUGCGGCCCAGAAGCAAUUUGAAAGCCUCUUCUUGCAAUUGGAAUUUGGAUGUAUGAGUUAUUUACAUUUUACUGUGUGUUGUCAAAAUGCUUGAGGUUUUGAAAAUUACACCAACUUCUCCUGAAGUCUCAAAUUAUUCUCAUUAAAUCCGAUUUUGUUAAUUUUUCGUACAAAAGUUAAUGAUUUUAUAUAUAAUAAAGCUUACGCAAAUAACAAAUUUAAUUUCGGUUUGAUUAAAAGAAUAGCUUGUAAAAGGCUUGAAACUUAAGUGGUUAAGAGGAUAUAAUCCCGUCCUAAGUUCAAUUCCCUUCUACCGAAUUUCGCCUAUAAAAAUCGAAGUACUAAAUUUUUUAUUAUUUGAAGACAUUUUUUUAUAUAAAAUCAUCAAUUAUAGAAGGAAAAAUCAAUGGAAAAAGGUUUCGAGAAAAUAAUUUAAUACUUUAUGGAGUAUUUGUGUAAUUUUUGGAACUACAAAGGGUUUAGUAAAAGCACAAGUUUUAGUGUAAAUAACUCUGAAAUGUAUCCCCAUAAAAAAAAUUAUAAAAAAUUAAAAAAUUAAAAAAACUAUGAAAUGUAUAGUACAGUCCCGAUCUCUUGGACCACAGGAGUCCAAGAGAUUGUGGUCACCCACCGUUGGAUAUUAAUCCAAUGGUUCAAAAUGAUAUAUAUAAAUGCAAUAUGACAUAAAUGAUUAUUACCCGAUUCAAGUCAACCGUUGAAUUUACAUCUAACGGUGAGUGACCAUAACUCUCUUGGACUACAGGGGUCCAAGAGAUCAGGACUGAUGUAUAGUAUACCCGUAAGAUUUUAUUCUUCUAUUUUUGUACAUUAAAUACUUGUUUAUCCUUUUUAUAUUUGAAUCUGUUGAGUAAAUUGCCUCAUUAAUUUUUUAUUAACUUUUUUUAAUGUGAGCGUGUCAUUGUUAGCAAAUAAUACCCUAUGAAUUUGAAUGACUUUAUACACUUGAGCCCCAAGUAAUAGACUUUAAACAAACGAUUGUGAUUUUGGAUGGGGGAACCUCCUAAGAGAGUUCUUUUCUAUCCCUCAGACUGGUGAGGACUUCACAAUUUAUCUAGACAAAAAUGGUAAGUAAAGCAAAAUACAUAAUUUGUGGUGAAUAUAACAGACUAAUCCAAGCAGAACUGCCUUAAGCACAAAGCAUAAAAUGAAUUGCUAAAUCUAGACGGGUGUCAAAUUGUUGUACUUUGACUUCUACUUAAAAAUACAAUCAAAAUGAUGUUUUAAGGUCAGGCUGGACUGGAUAUUUCUGCACUGAAAUUGCACGUCAAUAUCUUCAACAAACAUAGAUUAGUUGGAAAUCAAUACCAAUGUUGGUAUUGGCAGAGCUAUAAACAAGUUGAGCCAAUAUGUAGGCUGGAAAAGUGAGCAGAACUACAGGCAAGUACCUGUUCUAGUUGGUUGUGUAUGAUGUGGAAGAUUUCUAGACAAUUUUAAGACAUUGAGGUAUCUUUAUAAACUUGUUGAGGUUUUCAUAUGAUGAAAGACCUGACUUCUAUUUGUGUUAUCUUAUUUGCUUUGUAACACCCCGACUCCAAAAUUAAUGUCUAUUUUAAUUGAUUUAAAUUAAAUUACGAAUUUACCCUUGGGGUAGGGGUAAAUUGGUCAUUUUCUUAUCCGGAAGGAUUUUGGGACCACGAAUGGUAUUUUUGGGUAUGUGGUACUGAGACGAAUUCGUAAACACGCGGUAGGCUUGAAUCGGAGCUGUAACGAAAAUGUUACGAUCAAAACAUUAUCAGUGGCAAACUUGUAAAUAUUUCAAAAAAGUUUGAUAAAAAUCAGAUUUUUUCACUUCAGCUCUCUCUCUCUCUCCUCGCACGCACUCGACUCUCUCUCUCCUCAGUCUCUCUCUCUCCCCGACACCAACACACUCUCUCUCUUCGGUUCUCUCUGCACCGGCCACGGCCAGGCACGCCACCAGUCCCGAUCGAUUCGCCUCGAUGUCCCGAUCAAGUCUAGCCGAUUUUCCCCAUCGGAAACCACGAACUCCGGCCACGAGCUCGACUGGUUUGAACCAGAGCUUUCCGAUCGUCGCGCCGCCUCCUCCGCCGCCCAAACCUGGUGAGUGAGGUAUGGUUUCUCAUCCUUUUUCCGAGUUCUAGCUGAUUGUUGUAUAGGUUUGGACCGAUUUGUUGUCUAGAAAAUCGAUUAGAAAACUUAGGUUUUGGCCGGAUUUCAAAGUAAAAUUCCGGCCAGUUGCCGCCCGAAUUGGACCUUCCCUUAGUUGAAUGAAGUGAUCCUGACCUUGAGUAAAAGCUAGGAUAUGAAGGGUGAGCUCGGGUGGAGUUUUUCCGUUAUCGGAAUUACUCUGCACACCCACGAGCUGCCGGCGCCUGUGGCUGCGCGUGGGCGAGGCUGGUAAAGAUGCAAUUUUACCCGAUGAGAUCCUUAUGUUGUCACGAGCGUAUAGAAAUUCACGGAUCUCAAUUCGGAUGUCGUUUGGCUAUCGAACGAAUUUUCGCAUAUUGUGAGUUAUUGGGUUCGAUAGGUUCCGACCAUUGGAUCUUUUUCAAAUUAAAAUAUGUUGUUCUAGGUAUUCCUAGGACCGUAUGGGACUUCACGGAUUAUGAAUCGGGGCCCUGGAUGUUUCGAUUCAAUAAUGCAAAGUUGGCUGGUUAGCGAUAACCGUAAAAAUCGUGAACGAUUCCUAAACCUGUAAUAGGACCUUAGGAUACCUUCUUCAACGUGCACGUAUUGGGAAUUUGGGGAUUUAAGCAUUUAAUUUGUGAUUUCCACUUCGAUGUAAUUUUAUAUUAAUUAAGGUUCGUAUCUCGAAAUAGGUGUUUCGACUGCACGUACUCAGCAAGCAGGACCCUCACGUGGUCAGGCAGCGUGGGAAUAUUUGUGAGUGGACUUUGUUUUCAAUCAAUGCAUGGUUUUAUUGAUGAAGGAUUUUUGCAUAAUGUUUUUAUGGCUUAUUGAAUAUAUUAUAUUCAUGAGAUGAAUUUGAUGUUGUAUAGCGCGUUGGCAAUAUAUUGUGAGUUUGGCAUUUUGGGUAUUGAGAGUGUAUUUUUAUAAGGGUUGUGGGGAAGUAUAUGUAUAUUAUUCUCUAUAGACGAGAUACUUGGGUUGUUGAAGGGUGUUGUGGAAGAACUUGAUUAUGAUGGGUUGUUGAGAGAAGUUGUAUGAUUAUACUAUGUAAGUACCUUCCCCAAGUAUUAGACUUUUCACACGCGGCGUUGGAUGUUCCGGCGUGUAGGAAGAAUAGGUUACCCGUCUCACUCGUGGCGUUGGAUGUUCCGGCGUGUGAGACACUUUCCAUAUGCGGCGUUGGAUGUUCCAGCGUAUGGAAAGACUCUGUAUAGUGUUUAGGGUCAUCACCCAUGGCGUUGGAUGUUCCGGUGUGUGAUGAUCCAGUCUGCGCACGUAGGACUUAGUUUGGGAGCCACACAUGGCGUUGGAUGUUCCGGUGUGGGAGCUUUAGAGUUUCGUCCCCCGGUUGGACCGCUCAUCCCUAGACGCAGGAUAGCACCUGGAAAUCCUGCGAACUAGUCAAACGAUUCCCUAGUUGGAUUGCUUCCCCGGUACCUAGGUAGUGUGAUGAGUAUAUCGUAUAGCUAGUUAUAGUUAUAUUCUUAUAUAUAUAUAUAUAUAUUUAUAUUUAUAUGUAUAUGUAUAGUUGAGUGAGUGAAGAAUUAGAGUUUUUCAGUGGUUUGGCAAGAGUUGUAAAAUUGAGAGAAUGAGGUUUUUGAAGGAGAUGAUUUGUAUUAUGAAGAGUUUUAAAUGAAUCAUGUUUUGAGUAAUUAAUUUGAAUUGUGAACCUGCAUGACUAGAGCAUUAUUUUUACAUGGUGGGGUUAUUAUAUUAUUUUUAACUGCGAAUUUGGUUUUUGUCCACUCACAUGUUUUCUGUUUUGCGCCCCCCAGCCAGUAGUCGCUCUAGGAAGCGUGCAAGUGGUGUUCGAGGCUCGAACUGUGAAUCUUCCUAGUUAGGAAUUGAGUAAUUUCUUCUACUCAACUGUUCUUGUAAUCUAAAUUCAAUAGAUGCUCUAUUAUCGCCCAUGGUAGAUUUUACUUGUGAGGCCGGAGGCCAUUUUAGUAUGACUUGUUGAAUUAUGAAAGCAUGCUGCUGGUUGGGAUUUUUAUUUGAUGUGCGUUGCAGGUUGAAAUUUUUUGUUAGGUUUGCUUAAAUUACAGGGGAGACUCUGCCAAAAUUUUUGGUAGAAAGUCUCGAUUUCUUAGUAAGUGGGCCCGGCAUCGGGAAGAUGUCGGAACAAAGACGGGGUCCGCUUCGGUUUCCAGGAAAUUCCGGGGCAGGUCCUGUCAUGCUGAACCAAAUUUGUAAGAGAAUUCAAUCCAUUAUAAGUUAUGAUUGAAAUACAUUGUUAUAUUGCAAAAAGAAUCUCGUCUUCUUUUUGGCUGUCUGAGAUUUUGUUUGAGUUGGGUUGCUUCCUAUAGAAGAUUGCUUGCUUGCCUUUGAUAAUUGCAAGAUCAUUUGAUCUUUGAUUUCUUUUGAUCAGUCUAGACUGAUUGUUGAGUUUUUGUUUGAUUGGUUGGUUGGUUGGUUGGGUCCCCUCUCCAAUCCAUGCAUUCUUGUAUUUAUAAGAGAAAAAUGAUGAUGAAGAUUGUUAAGCUCAUAAUUUCAUGCAUAUACAUGCCCUAUUUACUCACUCAUUUUGCUUAGUUUCUUAGAAUUUUAGGCCAAUAGAGCGAAAGAGAAUAAUUCAUGCAAUUCAAGCAUGUUAAGGCCAGAUUGGGAUGAAUGGAAGAAGAGCUUAAAGACAAACUCAUUUUGGCUACAGGCCCUCGCCAGUCCAAUUUCGUAAGUCACAUUGCAAGACUUGUUUCAGCAAACUACACAACUCAAAUGAGGCAUACUUCUGCAUGAAAGUUGUUCCAAUGGUUGUCUAUUAUAACAUAUCCAAAAUUCAGCCCUAUUUGAUAAAUCUGGAGUCCGUCACCUAUCAAACACAGAACCAUGCUCAGGAUGGAUUUUGUCAACGUGCCAAAUGACAUGUGGCUGAAAAGAAGACAUUCUGAACUUCAAGUUUGUGGGCUCAAAGUCAUCAUUUGCUUAAGGGUAGCCCAAUUCGUAAGCCUUGAAGUUGCUGGUCAUGCUAACCUAAGGAUGAGCUAAGUGUGCUUGGUCAUAAUGACAUAAGCAUGAGGUGUUAUUGAUUGUGGGGAAGUUAGGUGAAGCAUAUGCAUUUCUUAUAUUUGAGUGGAGUUUUGCAGCAGCCAAAGGGAAUAAAACAAGAUGAAGUGGGAGCUGCAAUACUAAGCCUAAAGAGAAGAAGAACUGUUUUCAAAUGCAAGUGUGUUUUAGGUGAAAUAGGUGUGGUUAGUGAACUUACUUGUAUAAUCUGAUUCACUUAACCCUUAUACCUAUAAAUAGAGAGUCUCCAAAGAGCUAUGUAGUCAAGAAAAUUCAAAUCCAUCAUUUACACUUACAUUGUACACAAAGAGAGGAAGAGUUAAGAGUCACAAAGGGAGAGAAGAGAAAAGGCAGCAGCUGGGAGGCUUUGGCCUCCUGGCAGCCAUGGAGAUAAAGCUUUUCCAUCUCUAGCAUGAUGUCCCUAUCUUUUUCUCCUCCCUUUGUCUUUUAUUUUCUUCUUGUAUUUCCUUAGCUUUACUUUGUUUUUCUGUCAUUAGUUAAUAAACAUCUUGCUAGUCUUGUAUCAUGGUUUGAGUUUAUAAAGUUUGAUUUCAUUCAUGAAUUCUUCUUCACUGUUUUAAUGGAGCUAUUUUGCAUCCUUUGAUUGAUCACCUGAGGAUUUAUGCAUUUUGCUCUUGUUGGUUGAUUGAUCACCUGAGGAUUUAUGCAUUUUGCUCUUGUUGGGAAGGUUUGGGGAUCAUCUUCAUUCCAUCCAUUAGCAACUCAUAUGAUUUGGUUUCCAGGACGCCUAAUGUAAACACAAUGCUUUGGGGUCCUUGUGAUGUUCAAUGCAAUUUGAUCCAAACUGUUUAGGCCAAAAUUCUACCCGUCAUCCCAUUUUUGUCGAGAGGCCCAUGAACCAAACAUUUGGGCUUUCAUCUAUAGGAAUCAUAAGGAAAAAAACCAAGACACUAGAAAAGCCCAGAUCCUUUUGAACAAAUUACAAAAGCAGCCAUGAUCUGAAAAGAAUAAACUACUAUUAUUUACAAUUAAAGAGCCGAUACACACAGUGUUGGAUAAAUGCCCAACUUCUGAGAAGAUCUCACCACUUGGUCUCUAUCCCAAAAAGCCAAAACAGCAUAUCUUUUUCUCAAGGAAGCGCCAGCGUGAAUUUCUGACUUUGAAAAAGUCAAAAUUUUCAACUAUCACAGAGGAGUUGAUAAGGAGUUAAUGAAGGCAGGUUUUACAGGAAGACUUCUCCAUUGUUUGCAGCCAAAGAAAGAAGAUCAAAAUCCCUUUUUAUAAACAGAGAAACUCUACACUAAAGCAGGUGACCUUUCCAAGAGAUAAGCAGACUACAUUCUCAAGAGAUAAGUAGGGAGCAAGGGAGUUGUUCAACAGGAAAAGCAAACUGACCAUCAUGACAAAUUGUGUAAUAACCCAAACCUUAAUUAAUAUUUAAUUAUUAUUUUAUUAGAAGGAAAUACAAUUUUGCCCUUGGAAUAAUUUAUUAAAGAAAAGUUAACUUUUUGACAGAGAAAGAAUUUGACAAUUCCACACACACCGUUGCGUAAAGCGCGACGAAAUGAGUCCGUAGACACGUAGCAAGCUUAAAUCGGAGCUUUAACGAAGAAAAUAUGGUCAAAAUACGUAGAGGGGCAAAAUGAUAAUUUGCAAAGUCAGAAUUUUAAAACCCCAAUUCUCUCUCUAUCACGAUCUCUUCUUCCCCUGGUUCGAAAACCCCCCAGCCGAACCUCCAUAACUACCCAGCCACUGCCACACCUCGCCCCGACCCACCAGACUGGACCUAAUCGCACCAGCGUCAGCUCCGCCGCCAAGCCCGACCUUCCCUGCCACUCGGCUGUCACGGUUUCGUAGGAAAAAUUGAAAAUUUCAUCCGGUUUAGUUUGAAAUUUCACAGCCGUCGAUCUCCGUAUUCUGACCACCAAAUUGGACGAUAAAGGUAUGGACCCUUACCUAUUUUUCAUGACUUAGCUGUUGGUUGGGUAGGAUUGAACGAUUUCUAGCCUAGGUAGAUCAAACCACAAUCCAAAGCUCGGUCGGUUUUGAGAUUGAAAUUUCGGCCACUUUCGGCUAGUUUUUGGGGUACGUCCAAGAACAAAAGUGGUUCCAAAUAGGUUGUUUUACAUAGAGUAGGAGUUUGGGCCGGUGGUUUGGAGUUUUUCCGACUGCCAGAAAUUUAUCAAGCCACCCACUCACUGCCGGCGCGUGUGGCGGAGCGUGGGCAGUUUAGUGGAGACCACAUUCAGUCCUAGAAUGAUCCUCGUGUUGUCAUGAGCGCGUAGGAAUUCGCAGAUCUCAAUUCGGAUACCGUUUGAGCCUCGAACGGAUUUUGCAUAUUGUAUGAUUUCCGGGUUCAAUACAAUUGAGCCGUUGGAUCGUAAUCAUUUUCAGAUAUCUUAAUCUACACAAUUCCAGGAUCGUUUAGGAUUUGACGGAUCGUGAAUCGGAGUUCCCAAUACUCCAAAAUCGCGAACCCUAGGGCUAGGGUUUUAGAAAUCAUUCGAUUGUAUGAUCGUGAUCAAUCCGACCGUCCGAUCGAGAUCAAACUCUCAGGACAUGUGUCCUGGGUAUAUUGGAACUUCUAGAGGCUUAUGGAUCAUAAUUUUGUGGUCGAACGUGCACAGGGUCUGGCUCGGAUUCCAAAAUGGAAUUUGGGUCGGGUCCUAUCCAAUUGUGUCUUUCCUUCUUUACAAGGAACAAAUAGAGAACAAAAGGAGUUGAUUUUCUUUUUGGGAAAAGCAAGGAAAAGAUCACCAUGGGAACUUAUUAUUGAUGGUUCUUCUCUGCCAGAAUAGAUAGCUUCCCCUUUUUGUGGCAUUUAAAAAGAAAGAUCUUUUGAAAAGAUUUGCCGUCCAUUAUUCAAAGAUUAAAAACCUUACUCCAGCAUUUCCUAUAAAAUAAGAGAGAGGGUGAACAGAUGAAGGACAGCCUAAAAAUCAAUCAAGAUAAAAACUCUCAAAGUCAUAACUGACAAACUCAAAAUGAUCAAUUGAUCUUAAAAGCCUUCAAACACUGAAGUGACCAAAGCUCAUCGAGCCACAAGAAACAAAUCAACUAUAAUUCAAAUCUCUGUUUUCGGUUCAGUCAGAGAAACUGUUUUACAAAGCGAGAUUUCUCUUGUUACAAAUUUGGUUCAGCACAAAGCCAAGUCAAGCAGAGUCAGGAUUUUUCACAAAUAUGAAAACCUCAACAAAUUUACAGAAAGCCUUGGUCAAGCAGGACAGGCACCAUAGUGCAGUUCCAGCUCAGUGACCAUCAAUCGAGCCACUUUUGUUCUCUUCAGACUGGAGAUGCCUCAAUUCAACCCUUUCAACAAGCCUUCCAUGGCUCGAAAUAAAUUGAAGCUCUGCCAAACUCAAAUGUCGGUAUCCAUUUCCAGCUAAAACUCAUCAGUUGAAGGUGUUGACGAUCCAAUCCAACACAGACACAUCCAAUCCAGCCCAGUUCAGAAGCAGCUACCCAGGCAGAAAUUGAAGUCGAACGCUCUGCUGUCUAUUCUGGAGUUGGCUUUUUCUCUUUCUGAGCUUUGUAAUGAGCAGUUCUGCCUAAACAGUUUACUUUCUUUUCAUUUAUUCUGGCCAAAACUACCAAUUUUGUACUGUGAAAAAUUAUGAAGUUCUCACCAGUCUGAGGCGAGAAAAGAACUUAUUUGAGAGAUAUUCCUCACCCAAAUUCACAAUUGCUUGUUUAAAAGUCAGUAACUUGGGGCGCAAGUUAUCUAUUUUUUAGAAGUCUGCUAGGGUUUUGAACUGCUAGCAGUGGCACGCUCACGCACAAAAGAAAGUUGAUUUGUUAACCACUAAUGGUUGUCAAGCCAAUGGGGAACUUUACCAUACCAUCACAGGAUUAAAAUCAAAACGGGUGAACACAAACACCAUGGACUUAUUUGUGAGGAUCGUCAUGAUUGAAUCAAUUUUUUUACUUGCUGCCAUAACGUGAUUAGAACAAUUAGGGUGGAUUCUAAAACCUCACCAUCUUGUCUUAGUUCUUUUCUUUCUUCUUCUUUUGUGUUCUUUUGUGUUCUUUUGUUUUCAUUUCUGUUUUGUGUAGGAAAACUGAAUUGGAUCAUUCAAUCAUCAAUCCCUGUGAAAUUGACCUUGCACUUACAUAUGCUAAACUACCAACGACUCGUGCACUUGCGAGUAUCACAAGUUGAGGAUGCAGCUGAAUCCAUUAUGGUGCAGCGUUGAAUCGACGCAACAAAGAUAUGGAUUUUUUUUUUUAAAAUUUUGGACUAGCCCCCAUUUCAUGCAAAAGUGGCAAAAGUUUUGUCAUUCCAAUGCAUUGAUCGUUUUUGGCACCUGCUCAUCAAUACUCCUGAAUGUCUCCUAAUCAUUCCUUUUGCAACAACUAGACUGAAGCAAGCAAUAAUUUCUAGAUUCCUCCAAUGUUGGUACCAUAAAUAACCAAAUACUCUUGGAAAAGAAAAAAUCCGAUGAUCAUAUAAUAAAUAGCCGUGAUUCUCAAGCAAGUCUAACUUUUACUUUUCAACUUUUAAGGUCAUCAAUUUUCCUUGUAGUUUAGUCACGAACGAUGAGGAAAUAUCCUUAAAAACUUUAACAGCUAAGAAAUUGUGAAUUUUGGACUGAAACUAAUUGAAAUAAUUUGAUUCUUGGAUUAAAUCACCACUUGUGGUAAUUCAUUUACCAAUUUAUCAAAAAAUCAUGAAUUAGUUAAAUCCCCCUUUGGCUAAAUAGUAAGGACUAGUCACCAUUUUUGAUAAACACAGCCCAACGUUUUGUAAAAUGAACCCAAUAAACCAUUUUGGCUAGCUCGUAGGAUUUAAGCCCAAACAAUACCUGUUCGGCUAGAAUUUUAAAAAAAACAAAUUAUUUUAUUAUUAUUCUAUUUUUGAUAAGAUUCUAGAAAUUUGUCUAAUCUCAUACCGGAUGUUUUGGGGGCACUUUUUUAUGCCAUGCGUUCUCUGAUGUGCAUUCAGGGGCUUAAUAAAAUAGUCUCACUUCGUCAUCUUUUUAUCGCACAAACACGUAUUUGCACAUCAAAAUUCAACACUUCGGUAUUUCUCUUCCAAUUUCAACCAUAAUUAGUAUUGUCUCAAAAUGACUUCAAACAUGACUCCAAAAGGCAUCGAUGCAUAGUGACUUGGAACACAAUCCUAAAACGUGUUAGUUGCUUGAUCCGAUCAUCAAUUUCAUUCAGAGUGACGAUUUUUUUUUUUUUCAACAACUCUUCUACAACAUUUGACCAUUUUUUUCUUGUUGAAAGUGACAAGUUUUGUCGACUUACAAAAAAAACUAUGCCAAAAUGGUAAUACUAAAGUCCUUAUCUAACCCCUAUAUCUCUUCAAUUGAGAGAUUUUUGGGGUUGACCCUUGUAGGAAGCAAGUGUUGGGUUCUUCAAAGACUAGGUAGAUAGAUAAUUCAAAAUUUUACCCAAUUUCUUAGGAUUUGGAUUUCAGCAAAGUGUUUGAUAGCAUUCUUGCCCUCCACGAAUGCUGGUCUAAAGAAUUUUAAUCGGGGGAAAGAAAACCCACACUCCAACAAAUAUUGUGUUUGAACAUUAAAGACUAAAAAAAUGUGUUUUAGCUAUAAUAUAGAAGAAGCCAGAGAAAAAAAAUUUAGCCCAGCCCUAUAUAAAUUCCUUUAUUCCGCCCUUGUUUGGGUGGGAUGAGAAAAUUUGUGUUUGAAAGGGGGAAUGGAGGAAGGGCCUGUAAAGAGGGAAGGGGGAUUGGAUUUCAAGGUGAGCGGGGUUAGUUGGAGCCACCGGAGGUGCACAGAUGAUGGGGUAAGGUGAUAUUUUUUUUAUUUUCAAUUUUAUUUUUUUAUAAUGAAUUUUCUAUUUUUAAAAUACCCUUGAAAAUGGAAAGACUAAAAUACCCUUAAAUAUAGAUGGAAAGUUGGUGUUAAAGUGAGAUGACAAAUCAUGAAUUUUGAAAAAUUAAGAUGUCAUUUCUCUUAAUUUUUUCUUUAAAAUGACAACUUGAUUUCAAGAUAUAAGUUCAUGUGACAUUUUAAAAAAUAAUAAUAAUAAAUUGCAUAACAUCAGAUUUUUUUUUUUUUUAUUUAAUGCAAAAAAAGGGAAAUUACAAGCAAAAAUCACGCGAACACGCAGUCCCAAACAAGUUGAAAAAGAAAGGAAUCGGACAAUUCAAAGGCAGACCCGCAUCCCAUAACUCUAUGACUAUUGCACCAAGUAAAAGGAAUGCCAGCAGCACAAGAGAAAUAAUUUCACCAUCAUUAAUAAAGCCAUUAAAAUCUGCCAAAGCAGACAUCAAAUGAGUGUAACCACCUAAUUUCUCACUAGGGGCGCAUAUAUUAUUAAAGUCCCCCAUAAGAAUCCAAGCUUCAGAAGCCGCAUGUUUGAGGCCAAGGAUAUCAAUCCACAGCUGAUGUUGUUUUUGUUUCUAGGGAUAAGCAUAGACAAAAGUAGCUUUCCAAUUUUUUUGGUCAAUAAGAUCUUGAAUGUGGCAGUGAAUGAAACGCUCAUGGGAAUCUAAAAUGGUUAUAUUAAUAAAAGAAGGAUUCCACAAUAAGAAUAUCCAUCCACAAUGACCAAGGGCAUGGAUACAAAAGAAACCAUCAAAACCAAGCCUCUGAGCAAUAACCUCAGCUCAACCCUAGAGGCUCUGGAAUCCAAAAUAUAGAAAACAUUCAAACUAGACGUACUAAUAUAAAAAAGGGCUUGCAAAAUAAAGCCAGGCCAACCACUGCCUUGGCUAUUCCAGAAUAACAUCUUCAUGGAUUGGGGCUAGGGGUGUUACCAACCAAGGGUUCAGUCUCCCUCAGAUACUCUCCAUGCAUCUCAACACUUGGAGCAUAAUUCUCUUCCACUUCCACCUCAUCACGAGUUCUCUUCUUAGGACUCUUGUAAGCGAAACCAGUGAAGGCACUGCUGCCUUCUUGGGAAUGAGCAGGGGCAAUCACAACAGCCCUACCCUUCCCCUUGCUAAUAUGGUCAACUGGAGAAAACUUAACCCCAACAUCACGAGACCCACCUCCUUCAGUAAAUUUGAUUCCCUUAGCAACUUCUUUAAAAGUUCUCCUAUCCCUUUCUUGCAUUUUGGCUUUGCCUUUACGGUUAGCCACAACCGUCCACCCUGGGUCCUAUACCUCAGUGGGCACCUUCUCACCCUGGUCAGAAUUUUCCUCUGCAAAAUAGUCCACAGUUAUAGGCUGUGGGAACACCAGUAUGACAUCAUCAGCUAGUUUUUGUUGCUCUUCAAACUCAAGGACUCAUUCCCUAAGGAACACAUUAGGUUCGUUCUCUAAUAUUUCAACCUGCAUGGCCACAUAUCUUUCCGGCUAAGGAGUGGGAAACCUUUCUCUUGUUACAUGAAUCCAAUUUUCAUUUCACCUGGGAAAAGCCAUCAGAAAGCUUUUGUUUGAAAUUUUGAUAGGGCAAAUGUGAUCGCGCUCCAUCUUCUGGCUACAAUAGAAACAGAUCGCAAAAAGGGCUUCAUAGCUAACAAAUAUUAUGGUUUCCUGGGGAUGCUCACCCAGAACUAGGCAUCUUUUUAGGGGCCUAGUUAGGUCUAACACAAGGUGAGCUCUAACAAACAUAAUCUGUUUACCCUCUGUAGACUGCAGGUCCACACUAAUAGGAUCUCCAAGGAUAGAGACCAAAUCAUAGAGAACCUCAGGGUCUUUGUAAUGGAGGGGCAGAAAGGGAAUUCUGACCCAGCCCACAAUGGAUGUCACAACAGCAUAAAAGGGUGAGAAAUCUGGGGUCCAGCGCUGCAGGUUAAAAAUCUGACCUUGGACAAACCAGGGUCUGUUAUCCAAAACGAAAAAAACAUCAACUUCAGCAUUGAACUCCACCUUAUACCAGUCUCGACCAAUAUGGUCAAUAGAGACCUCACCCUGCAGGUUCUUCCACUCACUCUUGAGCCUAUGCCUGAUAACUCUGCUAUUCACAGGAACUCCAAAGACUUUCCCUACCAAGCAGAAAGUCUCAUUGAGUUUGGACACUAGACGCAAGAGCAGAGGUGGAGACUUUGGUUUCAUUUCUUUCAAUCCUAAAGGUAAAUAUGCCCUUGUGUAACACAGAGGGUUCCACAGAAGACCUACUCCCCAAUCUGGGAGAAGACGUCGGACUCAAACUACGGGAUUUCGCCCGUGAAGAGCUAGCAUUAAGUUGAGCACUCAUGGUUGGAUGAGAGGAAAGUGAGCAAGGGCAACAGGUAUUAAGAGGAAAUUUAGAAGGUGAGAGUACGCGGUGGAGAUAUCUGGUUUUAAUUUUCUUAUAAAUAGCCAGUAUGAAGCUCUCAAAAUGAUUACAAACAUAUCCAAACCUCCAAUGCAUGCAAAGAUGAAGAAAGGGGAAAGAAGUUAUCUGACCAGAGUUGCUAAAAUCAGCAUCGAGCACCUCCCAAAUCAUCAGCAUCAAAAGGGGUUUCCAAUUUCUGGGGUAAUGAUUUAGUCUGAGACGAUCCUGGCCAUUAGAUUGAAAAAAGAAUGCAAGAUUAGAGUGAAUGAAAUUAAUGCAAGAUAGAGGACGAAGCAAAUUGCAAAAAUUGCACUUCCCAAAGGGAGUUCAUCAGCUGAUGCAUCGUAAAUCUCAAACGACUUCUUUUUAGCGCCACCUUGUGGUUUGGAUGAUGGAUCAACAAUCAUUUCGCAACCCAAUCACGGCAAAAGCUUUGGGGAGAAGAACCGAUUCAAAGUCUUCCCAAUACAAACAACCAUAGCUUCAGACCAACUUUUAGAUGUAAUAAUUGAACCCGCAAGCUUCACUUGAUCAUCCCUUUGAGCUUUUUGUCUUGCCUUUUUCUUCCUUCUUUUCCAAUUUCCCACCCUCUCAAGGACUGCCCUAAUCCCCUUUUUGCUCUCGUUCUUCAUUUUUCUGAAUUAAUUCAAUCAAUUCAAAAAAUUCAUUUCCAGGCACUUAUUUUUUCAUGGCUUGGGGGGCAAUGAACUAAGAAUCAAUCCUUGAAAACUAUAAACCAAGUAAAGAAUAAACAAGGCCUCUUUUUAUAUUUUGGCGAACGAAGAGAAGUACAUUGAACAUAAAUUUAUUCCAAAAAAACAGUGAAAUUGUUCCUUGACCUCCCUCUUGAGAUCCACACAUCUUUGCACAUCUAUUAGUGCGGGAUAGAUUCAUCCUAAAGACAACAAUUGCCAAACCACCCUACUUUGCAACUCCAUCAGAGCCGAGUUUUAUGUCCCCUGAAUUCCCAAUUCCUUAAGCAUUGCAGAUAUCGCAUUCCUAAUCGUUAAGGUCUCGGUAAAAAAGCUAACACAAGAGAAGACAAUGAGAAAAUGAUGCUUAUCGAGUCCUUCGAUGCCAUGUUGACAUGAUUACAUAUGAAUCUAAUCAAUCAUUGACACUGAAGUAGUUCCUAUAAACCAACCGUGGCCGCUUAAGUAGGCUAGCUGCAUCUCAGAGGACAAUAACUCAAAGAGCAAGGGAUAAAGGAUUGAGAGUCAUUCUUAUCUUUUGAAAAAUGGACAGAAAUUAGCUUCUUCCACUCCUCAACCAAAAUACAAUACAUUGUACCCUAAUAGAAGCAUUAUAUGCGCACAUUCUACAAAAUCAACUUUCAAGGGUAACCAAAGUCGGGAACCAUAAACAGAAGAAAUUCUAGCGACUCUACGGCAGGCAUUUGUUCUAAUAAGAAAGCAUAUAUAAAUCUAAUUAAAAACAGGUAGGCUGCCGAGUAGAAGAAUAAAAAACUGAAUUUACUUCCUGCAAAAUUUUAGUAAGAUGUGGGAUACAAUUUAAACCUUACUUUAAAGACAAUUUCUAGGGUAGAGGACAGCAUUAUAGUAUUGUGCCAAAUGCAAUCUAAUGCAUAUGAGUGAUGCAGCAUCAGGUGGCUAAAAUAAUUACAUCCUCACCCGUUUCAACAUAUCAGAUCAGACAGACUGGAUAUCUACCUUCCCUUGAUACACACUUAACAAUUCAGGUACUUCGCCAAGAUAUCUGUUCACAAAAAUCUCCAAGAACUGCUUCUCUGUUCGUUUCAGCAGAGAACCCAGAUUCAAGUUCUCAUUUAUGAAACCUUUCAACAACAGAACUUUAACAACAGAGCACCUUGGGAUAAGUCUCCUCUCCAAACUGAGACUGAGGACCACAGGAUAUUUGGCAAUCAUUCCUGACGACCAUCCCAUCUUGUUCACUAAAAGAUCCAUUGCUUGCAUAAGUUUCUUCUCCGAGACAAUCAUACACUGCGGGUUCUUCCUGAAGGCAGAGAGAAAAUCACCCUCAGACCAACCCCAUGUCUUAAGAACUUCGCGACUUCUACUCCAUACCAACUUAUUCUUACCGCACAAUGCACACAGGGCAUUCACUGAAGUUGAUUUUUCUAGAUUAAAUCCCAUUUCCUUAACCUCACCCACAAGUUGACCAAAGUUUUCAGCAUUUGCCAUCAAAACACGGGUACCACGAUUUAGCAAAGAAGAAAUGCAUGGUUGAGGCAUGCCCAAUUCUCUCAAAAGCCCAAUAUUUGGCACCACAUGCUUGCAGUGACCUUCCAAGAAAAUCCAUGAGUUGCGUUUUAAAACAGCAACAACAUUUUUCUCAGAGAGCAUACUCCUGAGGAAGUUAUAAGUGGGCAAAAUCCGAUUUCUCAAGCUGGCUGACAAAAGGUGUGGAUUAAAAGCCAGAGUUUUUGCAAAGUCCACUUUUGAAAUUUCAAGAGAGCUGAAAAACUCAAGCUUUGGCAAAAGGGUUUUCUCAGGAUCAGCUGAAAGAAGUUGUGGAUGUGACCUAAUAAGCUUUGAUAUCUGGGUUUGAGAUGCUCCAUGGUUUCUCAGAAGCUCUAAAACGGAGUCUGCUCUUUCUGGUGACUGCAACUUGACCCACUUAGAAGCUAAAAUCGCUCCUUCUGGGGACAAUCCACAAGUGUUUAUGAGGUAAGUGACUGUGAAAUUGUGUUGGUUUUCUGAGAUUUCAGAGGUGAUGUGUCUGCAGAGCAACUGACUCUGAAGAGAAAAAUGUGAGGGUUUUGGAUCUCCAACCAACACUCUGUUUGUUUUGGAAGCAAAUGUACAAGAAAAUAUUGAGUGAACCAAUCUGAAAGUCUUCAAAUUGCAGAGUUGAAUCAUGUUAGAGGUUGAUGAUGAACAAUUUCUACAUGAAAACUUAAAGCCCAAGCUGAUUCUCUGCCUUCAGAAAAUAUGCAGUUCUCGGCAUUCUAAAAAGAUUUGAACCAUCCAAAUAAAAUUGCCUGGUAUAGGAUAAACCAUUGCGGCUAGGGUAAGUUUUCUUACCAUUUUCACAACUGACGGUCACUGGCUCACUGCUGCCAUCCAUGGUGGUAGGAAAUCUUCUGCCAGAAAAACCUCUUCAGUCUUCAUCGCUACAAAUCAAAGCAAAGAAAUUACUCCAAUCCCAGGCAAUAAGAAAACCCAAAAAAAAGGGUUGAAUUUCAAACUAAAAAACAGUCGAGGGCAUUUGUUUCUUUGGUACAAAGGGCGAAGAACAUUUGGGCGAUGAUGCUUUGGUUUAUAGACGCUCUACGUGGUUACUCUCAGGUGCGGCCCAGAAGCAAUUUGAAUGCCUCUACUUGCAAUUGGAAUUUCGAUGUAUGAGUUUGUUUUUACCCAGUUUUGGUAAAUGGACCAAAAAUUGUCCAAAGGAUUAAAAGAAUAUCUCAAAGAUAAAGCCAGGUCCAUUAAUGUUUGUCAUUUCUUGAAAAGUCACCUUUUUCUUAACAGGCUUUUUGAAUAAAUUGAUGAGAAGGCCCAAAUCAUAAAUGACCAAAUCCUUAUCUUGCACUAAAGGCCAAAAAAUUGAUAAACGUGUUUUCUAGGCUCACAUAGGAGAUUAAAGGGGAUUAUCACAUUUAAUGACGACUUGAACUUUUUCUCUCCCAACAAGAAAACAAGUCGUAUAGAAGCCACCAAAACCAGAGAAAGAUCAAAUUGCCCAUCAGUUCUUCAAGUACAAAGGGGUCAAAUCAAGAGAGCUUCACAAGGAAAACUGACGGUUCCUGCCAAAAGCCUUCCAUCAUUCCCUCUAUGAACCAGUUAAGACCAACAAUCCAGCAGCUGACCUUGAACCACAAGCCAAAGGUCUUGUCGCAGUUUCCAUCAUUACAAGCUCUUUCAUCCUCUAUAAAUAAAGAAAGUCUACUUCGGAAGAAGAAGACUCUCUCUCCAAAAUCAGACACAACGUCUCAAAAAACAUUCAAAGAUUCUCAUAAUAACAAUCUGUCUACUUCAUUUAGAUAACCGGGUGACAACUACUGCAUUUAUCCAUCGUUGCUCUGCCAUACUCAUAGUAUGAUUUUCUUUUAAAAGUAAUAUAUUUUCAAUUCUUGUAAUCACUUAACUGGAUUGAGAAGUCUCCAGUCUCUCUUUCCUUGCUUUGUAUUUUAAAGAUAAUUGAUGUAUUAAUUAAAGAAGGUUCUGUUAUUUGGUUUACACUUAAAUUAAAUAUAAGCUAAAGGAAAUUCAUCUUUAAUAAGUUCACUUAAUUACCCAAAAAUGAAUUAUGGACUAUUUUAAUACAUAGAAUUGAAUUCCCGCCUUCUUCCCUUUAUAAAAGUCCAAAAGAACCAACGUUCGGGCCCGAAAGGGAAUAGGGGCUCGAAUGAAACAGCAAAAAUAGGAGGGAUAGGAAGUUGAGUUGGGCCCGAAUUAUACCGGUGGGCUCAAAUUAACUAUUAAUCUAGCCCAAGGACGAUAAAGAUAUUGAAACUGGUUGUUAAAACCCGAAUAAGGUUUACUAACCACGAACUUGGUCUCUCUCUCUCUCUCUCUCUCUCUCUCUCUCUCUCUUACUUGUUCAGGUAUCGCUCAUACUUGUCAAGUUGACAUUCGUGAAGGAAAGAAUAUUGAAGUCCUCUUGAUUGAGGCAUAGAAAAGAAUCAAUCCAGGCCAGUACCCCUCUUGGAGCACAAUGGCUUGAGAAGAAGUCCAGAAAAAGACGCGCGAGUCCUUAAUCAUUCAUAAACAUCCAUACCAGAUCUAUUGGGCUGGUCAUAUACCCAAUAAUGGCACGAUUACGCAACAUCACGAAUCAGAAUUGAGAAAAGUUGACGGAUAGGCCUCUAUCAGGCCCGCUCGCUUUUGGCAAACUGAUUCAACUUUCAAUUGUGUUCAAAAAUUAAAGGAGUCCUCUUUGCGAGCCAAGAGAUACCAUCCGAUCGGAUCAUUGGUGUCGAUCCAACGAACCUCUCCAUUCCUCUUAGCAGAGUUGACCCCCGCGGGCGGCAAAAAGGAACGACGGAAGGAAAAAAGGACCAACAGAGUUAUUUACAUUUUACGGUGUGUUGUCAAAAUCACAGGCCAUCUUGAUAAUGCAGUUAUAGCAGUUGGUUCCCUUUCUAUUUGGUAAUUAACAUCUUAAUGCUAAUACCAUGGUGGCUAAUGAUAAGCUUUUGAUACCUAAUGCUAAUACCAUUCUCUUCUUUUCCUUUCGCAGCGUGAACAUUAACGGAUUUGAACUAAUGUUGUUCAUUGGAAUAAAUGUGGCAAUAAGGUGAACAAGCAUUGCAUGUUGCAUUUGAAUGAUUAUUCUCAUGUUGGUGAAUGAGUUAAUUAAGGUUUUUAAUUUCUACGAAUAAUGCAGUGUGCGUGUCUCCAGUGAGCUUGGAUCAGGACGACCAAGAGCAGCCAAAUACUCUGUCUAUGUGACAGUAUUUCAGUGUCUUCUAAUUGGGAUUUUUUUCAUGAUUGUUAUUGUUUACACCAUAAUGAACCGAGCAGACCCAGCAUCAAAGCGACUAGCACCAAGGCAGCCACGCCUUCUCCCAUGCCGAAGGAAGACACACUUUCGAGGUGCCAGACACCUGCCGAAGCUCUCAGCUGCCAAACCUAAUCUCCAGGACACGUGUCGUCACCACAACGGCUUGCAUAAAGUCCCACAUUGGAACUUUGUGCAAAGCUCCCACUUUCACUUCCCUAUAAAUAGGGAACAGUACCCAGGUAAAACCAAGAACUACUCUCCCACUUUUACUGUUACUCUGCCAGAAUUACUACUUGUAACUGACUUAGGCAUCGGAGAGCCUUCGGCCGGCACCACACCGGUGUCCGAAGCUUAACGAUUGCUUCUCCUCUUUUUACCUUCUACAGGUCUCUCACCAACCCAUUUCACCAAGGGCCUCAGCCCUCUUCUCUGCUGAAGACUCAGCACAUCUAAUCACUAAAUUGGACUCAAUAUUGGCCGGGCCAUUUUGAGCAUCAACAGUUAUCUUGAUAACCAAAGACAGUUUUUCCCUACUUUUUACAAGUGAUAAGGAUCUGCAACAAGCGGUCGCCAAGCUAGCAUAUCUUCUUGGUAUAACUAUGUUGCUCAACAGCAUCCAGCCGAUAAUAUCAGGUACCCGUUUUGACGUGUGACUAAGUUUAUGAAAUGUUAUACAAAUAAUGCCACUUCUUCUGCUGAUGCCCAUGUUUGCUUGCUUGGUUCUUGAAGGGGUUGCAAUUGGUGGUGGAUGGCAGGCACUGGUAGCUUAUAUAAACUUGGGUUGUUACUACAUUUUUGGACUUCCUCUUGGAUAUCUUCUUGGUUAUAUUGCAAAUCUGGGAGUGAUGGUAAGUUAAGAUAUCAUUUCCAAAUUCCAAGUAGGUUACUUUAAUUCAAGAGUGUUUGAUGAAUUCCUGUGAUUGAUGCAGGGACUUUGCGGGGGCAUGAUAUGUGGAACUGCUCUCCAAACCUUGCUUCUGAUGAUUGUGCUCUACAAAACCAACUGGAACAAAGAGGUAUAAUCAAUAUUUCAAUUCAUUGCAAAUCAUAAACAAUGUGAGAUUUGAAAAUAUCCACAUUGAAAUGAAUCUGCAGGUGGAGCAAGCAACAAAAUGCGUGAGGAAGUGGGGUGGUCAAGACAUCACAGCUGGGAAUGGAGCUCAAAGUACCUGAAAUUCUUUGCUCCUUCAAUGUUCAAUGUUCAAACUUUUUGUUUUGGAUGAAUAAAAUCUUCAAGUACGAGUACAAAAAAGGCAAUGAUAUAGUGAGAUUUCUAGCUUUGCCAUUUUCAGAGGCCAAUGCAUAUUCCUCUGCUCAUAAGCUUAACGGUGUCGCCGCCUGUUUUUGGACUUUGGCCAACCAUUACCAUGAUUUGAGUAGGAUAUGAGCCACGCUACACCAAGCGACGGUCCUUUUUUAUUUUUUUUUUUUUUUUGCAAUUUCAAUUAUAUUUUCAAUAAAACUUAAAAGCCCCAAAAGAUUUUGGUUACUUGUCAAAAAAUAGACUUGUGGGUUGUUUUGACAUGGUCGACAACAUCAUAUUGCAAUGAAAAAAAAAACGAAAAAGAAGAAGAAAAUGUGAAUUUGCCUUCAUCAUAAUGAAUUUCUGUCAUUCUAGAGAAUGAGAUAUUUUUGGCACAAGAAGAUGACAAAAGUAAAGACAUAAUUGCUCUGCUUCAGUCUUUCACACCACACACUGUAAAUGUGUUAACUAUAAUGGCUCCUCACCAUUCCAUCACCAUGCUUGCUAGGUAGCUAAAGUGGCUGUCAUUGCCCACAAAACAACAAAUAUUGAAAAUAAAAUUCAUGUUCUAUAAGAGCAUAUAGUACUAUUGCUCAUAAACUCUCAUAUUCAUUGGUGAGUUUGGUUUGGAGUAAAUUAAUGGAACCGUUGCUCAAAGGCAAAAGCGAAGCGGAGGCAGCUGAUGAUGACUACGCGGCAGUGAGGAGCUUUGAGGAGGCCAUGUGGGUCUCUUGGAAGGAGGCAGCCAAGCUCUGGAGAAUUGCAGCUCCAGUGGCGUUUACAACUCUGUUUUAGUACCUGGUUGUGUCUGUCACCACCAUCUUUGUGGGUCAUCUCGGAGAUCUUGAGCUCUCUGCUAUUUCCCUUUCUGUCACUGUCAUCUCUGGCAUCCCUUUCGGUUUACUGGUUUACAUCUAUUUACAUCUGCUUCUGUUUCUAUUUCUAUUUCUAUUUCUAUAUAUAUGUGUAUAUAUGUAUCAUAUGUGUUCAUGUAAAAAUGUGACUGUUUACAUGCUUAUAUUGUUUUGAGUUGUUUACUCUUAUUAAUUAAUUAUAGGGAAAGGUUUAACUUUUGAGUGAGUUCAGUUACAUUUAUUAGGUGAAUAUAUGGUCACAUUCUCCUCAGUCUUUUGGCUAUAUAUAUAUAUAUAUAUAUUGAGAGAGAGAGAGAGAGAGAGAGAGAGAGAGAGAGAGAGUAUAUAGCAUAGCAGGUUGCACGUCUCCUUUUGAUUUUCUGUUAAAUGCUCAAGGGCUGUUUGACUUGAAUAUUUGUAAUUCUGUGGCCAAUUGCAGCGGCAAUUUUUAGAAAUGUUGCUUAAGAGAUGACUUGUGUUGGAGGAAUGAAAGAGAGACUAAUUUAAUUUAGCUAUGCAUUUAUGUAUGUAGCAAGGUAUGGCAACUGCACUGGGAACGCUUUGUGGUCCGGGUCUGUAGACCCAUGGACAUUUAAAAGGUUGAGUAAAGGUUUGUUAGAGUUUUGAGCCUUUGUGCCUUUGGGUCCACCAUCUGUGCUCGCAUCCACUUUGGGUAGGGUUCAAAAAUCUCUUUUAGGUCAUGAGGGAGCCAAAAGCCUCCCAUGAUCUUUAGUCAGACAAAUACUUUAAUGGAUUCAAUUAUUUUUUGUGUUUUAAGAAAUUAUUUGAUUGCAAUCAUAAUUCAAUCAAAAAAGUCAUUAGUCAUAAAGAGUCAUUACAAUUACGGAGAAGUAAUAUAACAUCAACAUUAUGACAAUCUAAUGCACCUCCAUUAAUAAUCACGCAGAGAUGUUAAAAUUUUGAGAAAAUAUCAGAUUUAUUCAGGUCCAUUCAUUUCAGCAUUUAUUGAUGUUUAGUACCAGAGACGUGGACAAUGGAGCAUCGAUUACCAUAUCAACUUUUUAGUUUGUGUGUGUGUCUGGUGCUGAGAAAAUCUUACCAAGUUGAAGGUGAGGUGGUUGGAUUCUUGUGCUGCUGCUGUGCGGUGCAAACAAGGGAAAUAAUUACACAUGGAUACGUACGUUGACAAAUAUAUGUUCCAUUGAGCAUGUAUAAUGUAUGGUGUGGGGCUUAGCUUAGCUAUAUUUGUACCAAACAGUCCGCAUUUCAAAUGGGAGGAGGAAACUUCGAUGUCUCAAGAGCGAUUGGUAGGUGGGCGAGAGAGUGGUGGUUCAAAACUUCAUUGCUUGGUUUUUGAAAUUACAUUGGAAAAUUUGAAUGGUGGGCUUUGAGUUUACGUUAGUCUAGCUAAAUCCAAGACCAUUCUUUGUCAAAUCUAUUGUAAUUAUUAACCAUCCAUAUCCCUUGGACGUUCUUUGAUAUUUGCAAACCUUCUGAGUUGUGACACUGACAUUCACCAAUGAUGAGUGAGAGCCACGUUCUUUGAUAUUUGCAAAAUUGGAGCAAGACGAGCUCAUGCAAAGCAUAGCUUACCUAAUUUGAUUUUUCUUUCUUCUAGAUUAAAAUUAACAAUACUUUGCAAAGUUUUCCACAAGCCGUGCAGAUUUUUUUUAUAGUACAAAGUCUACAUUACAAGAGGAAUGAGGAAGGGAAGUUUCACACACAUUAUUAACAGGAACGGACCUAGAAUUUCAAAAUAUGGUGGACUAAAUUUACCUUACUUACAAAACCUAAUUGUAAAUCCGUAAUUGAUAAUUCAUAACACUGAAUUGAAAAUCCCUAAUUUAUACUUCUUGAACCUUAAAAAAUCCCCAAAUUUUAGUAAUAAUAAUAAUUUAUACUUCUUGAACCUUAAAAUGACCCACCAAGAAAAUUGAACGUUUGAAGGGCUGAUGCAUGAAGUGGGGUAGGCUGUAGGGUGGGCUACAUGUGACUUUGGGCUGGAAAAUAAUAAAAGCCACCUAAGCUAUAACUCAAGUUAACCUGUGAUUGAGUCCAUCUCUGAUUGUUAAGGUGUUAUAAGGAUUCAGACUUGAGACUAAUAAUAUACAAAUCAAAGUCUUUUUACACAAACCGUGCAGAAUUUAUUAAUUAGUUCCUAAGCAAGCCUUGAUAUAUAGAUUCACUUGGAUUUAAAUAGGUUGCAGUCCAGCACUAAUUGGGAUUGUUUCUUUUUCCAUUAAUUAACAAAGUACAAAAAAACAAAAUAAAUUACACUCGAAAUAAAGUAAUAUUUUAAGUCAAAGCAAAGGAGUAAAAGUCAAAGAAGAAGUAUAUAAGUAUGGGACUUCAUUCUCCCGACGUCACAUAACCAAAACCAAACCAAACCAAAACCCAACACACACCACACCACCCAGCCUUAGCACCGUCGGAUUCAUCUCCGGCCGCCAGCUAGCUCCCUCCCACUUCAUAUCAGGGCCGUGCACGCGUUCCUGCAGUAUUUAAUUCAUAUGGAGGCGCCACUGCUUCCGGCAGUGAACGGCGGCGAUGUUCGAGACUAUGAGCCGGUGACGAGCUGGAAGGAUGCUCGGUCGGUGACGUGGAGAGAGACUCAGAAGUUGUGGAAAAUAGGAGGGCCCAUCGCCUUCACAAUCAUCUGCAACUUUGGGACCAACUCUGUUUCCACCAUGUUCGUCGGACACCUCGGAAACCUUCAGCUCUCUGCCGUCUCAAUCUCACUCUCUGUGAUCUCAACCUUCUCUUUCGGCUUCUUGGUAAAUUAGCUCUAGCCACCAUUUCAUUUAUUAAUUCCAUGCAUUUAAUUCACAUACCAUAAUUCAUAUAUAAUUAAUGGGGUGCACGCAACGCGCAUGUCGUCAAUUUACAUAUAGCCUAGGUGGGGUGAGAUUUAAUAACUCUUGUCUUUUUCUACUUGAGUUAUGUUUUUAUGAUUUGGGUUUCUUAUGUUGCACUUGUCUUCUUCUUCAUGCUUUUCUUUUAUCUGUUUUUUUGGGAGACUUUGGAAAAGGCUAAAAGAGUGAGAAAUUUUUUAAAAGAAGCCAAAAUGGACAAAAUUGCCCUUAUUUAUUUUUGGAUUUCUUAAGGAAUCCUUUAUAUUUGCAUGUCUUUAAUUUAAAAGUUGAGAAGUUUUUCUGUCUUUUUUGAAAAAGUUUUGGCUUUUUUCAAAAGUGAAAGUUUUUUUGUAACUAAAACCUAAAUUUAUUUUUUUGUUUUUAGUGUGUGUUAGGUAUUCCUCAGUUUUCAAAAUAUUCUGCAUUUUUAUUUAUUUAUAUAUUAAAAUGGUUAAAUGUAUAUACUUUCUGUGAAUUAGACGGCACACACCUUUCCAGUCUCAGAGACUGACUAAAGUUGAGUGGAGAGUUUUUCUAUGUUUCUUAUUGGAAGUUGUAGUCUUUGAAUCAUACUCUGUUUCACAGUUGAGAAAAGCUCGGAAAUGAUAAGAGAUUUUGUAUGAGAGAGAGAGAGAGAGAGGAUAAUGAGCCCAAAAUAUUUGAAAAAUCAACCCAAUUAUCCUAAUGGAUUAGCCUUUGUAUUUUGGAUAAACCAUAUUAACUAACGGUGAAAAAUCAAAUUUAAUUUAACCAAUUUUUUUUAAAAUCGAAAUCUAAUUAAAAGGAACACUCAAAACUCUGUCUUUCCCCCCUUUGAAUUAUUCUAAUGGGUUGUCUUACUAAUAUGGAAUUAUGUAUGUAUGUAUGUAUGUAUGCAUGCAUGCAUGCAUAUGAUAGAUCAUUCAGAUCAAAUGCAUGAUUGAUUGAUUGGUAUGCAGUAUCGACUAUGUAUGUAGCUUAGCAGCAAAACCUAUGUCAUGGAAUUGAAGGAGCUAAAUUUGAUAAUUUGUACAAACUUGUAGCUCGGCAUGGGAAGUGCAUUAGAGACGCUUUGUGGUCAAGCAUUUGGUGCUGGAAGGGUUAACAUGCUUGGAGUGUACAUGCAAAGGUCAUGGAUCAUUCUAUUUACCAGCUGUGUCAUCCUCACGCCACUCUACGUUUUCUCUGCCCCGAUUUUAAAGCUUCUUGGGCAGGACGAAGAAGUGGCUGACCUUGCUGGAACCUUCACCAUAUAUGUCAUUCCUCAGUUAUUCUCACUUGCCAUCACGUUCCCUUCCCAAAAGUUCCUUCAGGCACAAAGCAAGGUUGCUGUUCUUGCAUGGAUUGGUUUUCUGGCCCUUAUUAUACACAUUGGAUGGCUCUUUCUCUUCAUUUACGUGUUGGAUUGGGGCAUCUAUGGUGCAGCUCUAGCAUUUGACAUCACAGGUUGGGAACUUGCGAUUUGUCAAGUUAUUUAUAUAAUCGGUUGGUGCAAUGAAGGGUGGAGUGGUUUUUCAUGGUUAGCUUUCAAAGACAUCUGGGCCUUUGUAAGGCUCUCACUCGAAUCAGCUAUCAUGCUUUGCCUUGAGAUUUGGUAUAUGAUGAGUAUAAUCAUUCUUACUGGACAUCUUGGCAAUGCUGUGAUUUCUCUUGAUUCACUUUCUAUCUGGUAAGGACCCAACUUCCUCCUUUUUGUUCUUGCAACCACUUUCUACUUCUGCUGCUGAUCCUUUGUUUUUUUUUCUUUUUCCUUCUUAGAUUAGAUGGUUUAUGUACAUUUCCGCAUUCAAAUUAUGAUGUUUUUUCUUGGAUUUUUACUCAAUCAAUUGGCAUUGCAGCAUGAAUCUCAAUGGAUGGGAAGCAAUGUUGUUCAUUGGAAUUAAUGCUGCAGUAAGGUAAGUACCAAGACUACUUUUAUCAUUUGGUGUACUUUGUAUGUCAUUGUCAUCAUACACAAACAACACUUUUUGAGGCAACAACGAUGUUGUGCUUACAAUUAUCCCUGCCGCUGAUUUUUCAGUGUUCGAGUUUCCAAUGAACUUGGAUUGGGACGUCCAAGAGCAGCUAAAUACGCUGUCUGCGUGACAGUCCUUGAGUCUCUGCUCAUUGGGAUUGUUUGCAUGAUUGUCAUCUUGAUAACCAAAGACUACUUUUCUGUCAUCUUCACAAGCGACGCGGAAUUGCAACAAGCUGUUGCUAAGCUAGCAUUUCUUCUUGGAAUUACCAUGGUUCUUAAUAGUGUCCAACCCGUCAUUUCGGGUAUCAAUCGAGUCACUUGGCUUUUCCUCAGUUCCCUUUCUGUAUACAGGACUCUUCCCCCUUUUAAUUUUUACUGGAUUCAUGACUUCAGGUGUUGCUAUUGGAGGCGGAUGGCAAGGACUGGUGGCUUAUAUCAACUUGGGUUGUUAUUACAUUUUUGGCCUCCCACUUGGAUUCCUUCUUGGUUAUAAAGCAAACUGGGGAGUUAAGGUAAAACAUUUUCAGUCUCAGUUCCACAGCUAAAUGUUUGUGAGAUUCUUUCGUCUUCACGGUCUCUAAUCUGUGUUUUGUCCAGCUAGUUUUAAUACCAACAUUUGUUCAUUAUUUUAGGGAAUUUGGGGAGGUAUGAUAUGUGGAACUGCUCUUCAAACGUUGCUUCUCUUGAUAGUGCUUUAUAGAACCAACUGGAACAAGGAGGUCAGUUAAAUCUGUUAUAGGAAUCCAUAUGGUCCUUCAGUUUACUUUAUAACUGAUCACCAACAAGGAUUUUCAUUUACUUAUGUCUUCAGCAUUCUUGUUUAAAAGACAAUAAUCAUAAUCUUUUUUCUUGGCACAGGUUGAACAAUCUUCGGAGCGAAUGAAGAAGUGGGGUGGACAAAACGUUGAAUAUGAGAAGAUAGCUGACAACCAUAUAUGAACUUGAUCCUAAAAGAAAUUCACAUCAUGUUUCUCCUCCGACAAGAUAUCCUGAGUAACUAAAAUCUCCCUGCUUAUAUUGGCCUGAAUUUCUCUGGAAGUCAUGUUUUAGAGUUGCAGGGUGCUCUUCCAAAUUUUGUGUUGACAAUUUUAAACCAGCUUGAUUUGUUCCCGGCAGGAGAUUUUACCUCCCUGUCAGUAGUACAGAAUUUAAUUUACCUAUCAAUUUGAUUCAACUGGUUUGAUCUGAUUUCCCCUUUUCAGGGUUCUCUUUCAUAAUCAAUAGUUUAUGUUAAUUUUGGUACUAAAAGUCACUAUCUCUAAGAUCAAUAUGCAUAAGUUUAUUGUUAGAAUAGUAGCAAACAAGGGCUUGCAAAGGAGCAACAACAGAAAAAGAAACCAUAAUGCUAAAAACUAGCUUUCUCGGAGAUUCUCCAAUAAGUAUUUUAUGUUAAGUAUUCGUUACAUGCUUCUAAUCUUGGUCGUUGAAUUGUAUUCAUUAAAUAUGUUGAUAGUAUUUUAAAUGCAAUCCUACGGCCAUGCAGAAUUUAUUAAUUAGUUACUAAACAAGCCUUGAUAUAAUUAUACAUAGAUACACUUAGAUUUAAAUAGGUUGCAGUCUGGCACUAAUUGGGAAUGUUUCUUUUUCCAUUAAUUAACAAAGUAAAAAAAACAAAAUAAAUUACAGUCGAAAUACAGUAAUAUUUUAAGUCAAAGCAAAGAAGUAAAAGUCAAAGACAAAUUGGAACUAUAUAAAUAUGGGACUUCAUUCUCACCAAGUCACACGACCAAAACCAAACCAAACCAAAACCCAACACACACCAUCCCAGUUCACAACACCACCACCCAGUCUUAUCACCGUCGGAUUCAUCUCCGGACGCUAGCUAGCUCCCUCCCACUUCAUAUCAGGGCCGUGCACGACUUUAUGGCCAUAGAUGGAAAUAGACACAGAGAAGAAGACGGAGACAGAGGGAAGAGAAAAGAAGAAGAAGAAGGAAAAGAGAGAGAGUUUUCAAUUUUUAUUUUAUGACUAUUAUUUCAAUUUUCAAUUUUUUAUUUUAUUUUUUAUUUUUUAUUUAUUUUUAACGUACAAAAUGACUAUUUUACCCUCAUAUUUAACAGCAAAUUGGAUGAAAUGUUGCGAAUUUAGUACCCGUUUGGCAUUGCUUAUUUGGGGUAAUAAGUGAUUUUAAAAAAAUUUCGGGAAGCCCAACCUUGUUUGGUAACCUAUAAGAAAAUCACUUAUUUUUAAAAAUUGUUGUCAGAGAAAGUAAUAAAUGAAAGCAGCUAAUGACCUGCUUUCAUUUUCUGAUUAUACGGUAAUCAGAUUUGAGAAGCGCUGGGUUUUAAUGAACUUUACAAACUUCCGAAAAUACCCCAAUCUAUUUUCACGCUCUCUCUUCCUCCUUCCCUCACAUCAUGUUGCUUCUUCUCACAAUCUCUUCACAUAGCCCACUCCUCUCCUUCUCUUCCAUUAUGCCUACAGUUUUUUCUUGUUGGAUCAAUUGAAGCGCACUGCUGAGCCACAAGACUCAGGUAAGAGAUGCAUAUUAUGUUUAUUUCUUUUCAAUUUCAAUCGUCCCUCUUUCUCUUUAAUUUCUAGGGUUUUAACUAUCUUCCCAAAUGGAAAAAUGUCAUUCUCAUGCCAAUACGUGAUAUAGAAAACCAACAGCAAAAACGCACUUGGAAAAACAUCCCUGUUGUCUUUGUCUGUUGCUCUGUUACUGUUUGUCUCGCUUGCUCUGUUACUGUUUGUCUCACUUGCAAAAAAUAUCACAUCCUUCCUCACUUACUCACUCUUUCUCUUGUUGUUUCUCUCUAUUUGGGCAAAUAGAUUUCGAGGGGGUCAAACCUCCAAAGCAUAAAGCUCUUAUUUUUACUUGGAAUUUUCUAUAUUACCUUGGUCAUAACCUUCAAAGCAUAAAGCUCUAAAGAACCUCUUGGUGGUUUUAAAUAUUUUUAUAUUUCACUGUACUUGAAAUGCUUGCAUUUGUGUUAAUAUGAUAGAUUUUGUUAUGGUCUUGUUUUGUUUCUCUUCCUAAUCUCUGUAUCCUGAAAAACUAUUAUUGAUUCAUUGGUUAUGUUUUCAGUUUGAAAUUUUGGGUUCUAGAUGAAUUUUUAUAUCAGUAGUGAGCCACUGUUAUUUGGUAUCUUAUUGAGUUGCAAGUUGGUUAGGUGAAUUCUUUUUAUUAGUUUGGAGAUAGAGAUAAAGAAAGUGAAGUGUUGCCAGUUCAAGAGGCUUUCUAUUUCUGGUACUGUUAAUUACAGAAGAGUUUUGGUAUUUCCAAACUAAUUCAUGUACCUUAGUUAAUGUAGGGGUCCAUACAAACUUUCCUGGUGAAUAUCAGCUUCACAAGCCUGAACAAUUGAAAUAUUUCUAUCCCAAGCAUUUCCCUAUAUGUUAUAUAUAAUAUUUGAUUGAAAGAUAUUUGGGUCAUUAAUAGUUAAUGUGCUUUGAUCAUAUCGUUGAAACAUUUGAGGAAAGCUUGUUUUAUUUUCAUGUGUGUCUGAGGGGGGAAGAAAGCUGUGUUAUGAAAAUUUUAUUGUGAUGGCAACCUUUUGGUUUAUUUUGUAGAGUUGAAUGACAAAGCCUUUGAACAGUAAGUGGUAGUUUGGGGCUGGGAUUACUUGAGGUGUAUAGUUCAACUUUGGACAUUUUUGUAGGCAUUUCAAAUCAUAGUGACUUUCAACCCUAAAUCCUAAAAUGGUAGUGACUUUGUUCGGUGUUGUUUCUUGUUUUAGGGGCUAGUUUCCACAAGCAGUGUAAAUAAAAACUUGGAUAUUUAUGAAAUACUCUGUAUUUCGUAUCCUAAAAAAACAAAAUGAUUGAAGGAGAGUAUGAGACUUUUGGAAAUGAAAGUCGUUGCCAUAAUAUGUUUAGGAUGGAUAAAGAUGUAUUUACAUGAUUGUGUGAUGAAUUGCAAAACAAUUAUGGAUUAAAGGGUUCAAGAAGAAUGAGUGUUGCUGAGAUGUUAGGGAUGUUCUUGAACAUCUUAGGACAUGGAUCUGCAAUUAGGCAAGCACAAGAUCGCUUUCAACAUUCUGGUGAGACUGUGAGCAGAUAUUUUAGUAUCUUACUUGAUGUUGUAUGUCGUUUAGCUGUGGAUGUAAUUAAACCAUUGGAAAAUGAGUUUAACAACACUCCAAAGGAAAUCUUACAGGAUUCUAGAUAUAUGCCUCAUUUCAAGGUAACUAUUGCAUCUACUAUUAAAUAUUUGUCUAUGUUUUAUAAUGUUAUAAUUAAUAUUAUGUUUGUCUUUUUAUCACUUGUAGGAUUGUAUUGGUGCUAUAGAUGAUGUUCAUGUGCAAGCUGUAGUAUCUCCUUCUAAUCAAAUACCAUUUAUUGGUAAAAAGGGGAUACCUACCCAAAAUGUGAUGUCUGCAUGCAAUUUUGACAUGCAAUUUGUAUUUGCAUGUGCCGGAUGAGAAGGCACGGCCCAUGACACAAGGAUAUUUCUAUCGACUUUACGUGAUCAAAGUUUGAAUUUUCCUAAACCUCCAAAUGGUACUAUUUCUAUCUAAAGAAAAAGAAAUUCAUAUAAUUUAUAUUUAAAUUUUUUUACAUUGUGAAUAAUCUAUUAAAUUUUUUUAAGGAAAAUUUUAUCUAGUAGAUGCGGGAUACCCACAAAUGAGAGGCUACUUAGGACCAUAUAAAGGUGAAAGAUAUCAUCUUCCUGAUUUUCGUAGGGGUGUUCAACCGAUGGGUCAUAAAGAGGUAUUUAAUCAUGCACACUCUUCCCUGAGAAGUGUUAUUGAACGCACUUUUGGAGUAUGGAAAAAGAGAUAGAGUAUUUUACGCGACAUGCCUAGUUAUCCUAUUGCAAAACAAGUCAAAAUAGUUAUUGCAACCAUGGCACUUCAUAACUAUAUAAGAAGACAUGCCAAACGUUAUUGUCAUUUUGAUGAAAGUGAAGAUGACCUAAAUGGUACUCAAGAUGAAGAGAUUGAGAAAGAGGUUGAUGCACAACAAGAAAAUGGUCAUGUAACACAAGAAAUGGAGGCAUUGAGAAAUCAUAUAGCAGCAAGUUUAAUGAGUUCAUCUGGUUAGAAAUGUAUAUGAUUGCUUGUUUAUGACUAGUUUAAUUUUUGUUAUGACCAUAUUAUUGACAAUAUAUUUAUUUUUAAUUGAAUACUUUAUUUAUUUUAUAAUUAAAAUAAUUUUUACGGUGUGAUGGAAACAUAUUUAAUACAAAAAAAAUUAUAUACGUUAAAGUGAAAGUGCUUUUCCUUUUACCAAACACUUGAACAAAAAAGUCAUUUCAAUAUAAUACCAUUUUUAGUCAUUAUACACAGCUUAUAGAACUUUUACAAAAAAAUUUACCAAACACUCAAAAACUGAUUAUUGUACAAACAACACUUAUAACAAAAAGUUUACCAAACGCCAAACUGCUUUCUCUCACAGCUGAUUUCUCUCACAGCAAAUCUGACAGCGAUUAUUUUCAUAGCACAGCAAUGUCAAACUAACCCUUAGACGGCAGGGGGGAAAUUGGCCAAAAAAAAAAAGUUUAUAUCCUUAAUUUUCUAAAAAAAAAAAAGAUAGGGAGUUAAUUGAAAGUAAGGUACAAAUUCAGGGGGCAAAUCGCUAGUAUACCAAUUCUUGAAAACCGUCAACCAAGUAAAUAAAAAACAGGGCCUCUUUAUAUAUUUUGGCGAACGAAGAGAAGUUCAUUGAACAGAAAUUCAUUCCAAAAAACAGUGAAAUUGAUAACAAUUGCCAAACCACCCUACUUUGCACAUCCACCGGAGCAGGGUUUUAUGUCCCUUGAAUUCCCAAUUCAUCAACCAUUGCAGAUCGUGUUCCUAAUCGUUAAGGUCUCGGUAAAAAGGCUAACACGAGUUAAAACAAUGAGAAAAUGAUGCUUAUCGAGUCCUUUGAUGCCACGUUGACAUGAUUCCAUAUGAAUCUAAUCAAUCAUUGACACUGAAGUGGUUCCUAUAAACCAACCGUGGCCAAUUAAGUAGGCUAGCUGCAUCUCAAAGGACAAUUACUCAAAGAGCAGGAGAUAAAGAAUUGAGAGUCAUUCUUAUCUUUUGAAAAAUGGACAGAAAUUAGUUUCUUCCACUCCUCACCCAAAAUAUAAUACACUGUACCCUAACAGAACCAAUACACGCGCACAUUCUACAAAAUCAACUUUCAAGCGUAACCAAAGUUGGGAACCAUAAACAGAACAAUUCGGGCGACGCUACAGCAGGCAUUUGUUCUAAUAAGAAAGCAUAUAUAAAUCUAAUUAAAAACAGGUAGGCUGCCGAGUAGAAGAAUGAAAAAUUGAAUUUACUUCCUGCAAAAUUUUAGUAAGAUGUGGGAUACAAUUUAAACCUUACUUUAAAGACAAAAUUUCUAGGGUAGAGGACAGCAUUAGUAUUGUGCCAAAAGCAAGCUAAUGCAUAUGAGUGAUGCAGCAUCAGGUGGCUAAAAUAAUUACAUCCUCACCCGUUUCAACAUAUCAGAUCAGACAUCCUGGAUAUCUACCUUCCCUUGAUACACACCUAACAAUUCAGGUACUUCGCCAAGAUAUCUGUUCACAAAAAUCUCCAAGAACUGCUUCUCUGCCGGUUUCAGCAGAGAACCCAGAUUCAAGUUCUCAUUUAUGAAACCUUUCAACAGCAGAACUUUAACAACAGAGCACCUUGGGAUAAGUCUCCUCUCCAAACUGAGACUGAGGACCACAGGAUAUUUGGCAAUCAUUCCUGACGACCAUCCCAUCUUGUUCACUAAAAGAUCCAUUGCUUGCAUAAGUUUCUUCUCCGAGACAAUCAUACACCGCGGGUUCUUCCUGAAAGCGGAGAGAAAAUCAUCCUCAGACCAACCCCAUGUCUUAAGAACUUCGCGACUUCUACUCCAUACCAACUUAUUCUUGCCGCACAAUGCACACAUGGCAUUCACUGAAGUUGAUUUUUCCAGAUUAAAUCCCAUUUCCUUAACCUCACUCACAAGUUGACCAAAGUUUUCAGGAUUUACCAUCAAAACGCGAGUACCAUGAGUUAGCAAAAAAGAAAUGCAUGGUUGAGGCAUGCCCAAUUCUCUCAAAAGCCCAAUAUUUGGCACCACAUGCUUGCAGUGACCUUCCAAGAAAAUCCAUGAGUUGCGUUUUAAAACAGCAACAACAUUUUUCUCAGAGAGCAUACUCCUGAGGAAGUUAUAAGUGGGCAAAAUCCGAUUUCUCAAGCUGACUGACAAAAGGUGUGGAUUAAAAGCCAGAGUUUUUGCAAAGUCCACUUUUGAAAUUUCAAGAGAGCUGAAAAACUCAAGCUUUGGCAAAAGGGUUUUCUCAGGAUCAGCUGAAAGAAGUUUUGGAUGUGACCUAAUAAGCUUUGAUAUCUGGGUUUGAGAUGCUCCAUGGUUUCUCAGAAGCUCUAAAACGGAGUCUGCUCUUUCUGGUGACUGCAACUCGACCCACUUAGAAGCUAAAAUCGCUCCUUCUGGGGACAAUCCACAAGUGUUUAUGAGGUAAAUGACUGUGAAAUUGUGUUGGUUUUCUGAGAUUUCAGAGGUGAUGUGUCUGCAGAGCAACUGACUCUGAAGAGAAAAAUGUGAGGGUUUUGGAUCUCCAACCAACACUCUGUUUGUUUUGGAAGCAAAUGUACAAGAAAAUAUUGAGUGACCCAAUCUGAAGGUCUUCAAAUUGCAGAGUUGAAUCAUGUUAGAGGUUGAUGACGAACAAUUUCUACAGAAAAACUUAAAGCCCUAGCUGAUUCUCUGCCUUUAGAAAGUAUGCAGUUCUCGGCAUUCAAAAAAGAUCUGAACCAUCCAAAUAAAAUUGCCUGGUAUAGGAUAAACCAUUGCAGCUAGGGUAAGUUUUCUUACCAUUUUCACAACUGACGGCCACUGACUUACUGCUGCUAUCCAUGGUGGUAGGAAAUAUUCUGCCAGAAAAACCUCUUCAGUCUUCAUAGGUACAAAUCAAAGCAAAGCAAUUACUCCAAUCCCAGGCAACAAGAAAACCCAAAAAAAGGGUUGAAUUUCAAAGUUAAAAACAGUCGAGGGCAUUUGUUUUUUUGGGACAAAGGGCGAAGAACAUUUGGGCGAUGAUGCUUU
rnacentral:lncRNA from 1 species